UUUUUUUUUUUCGUCACUAGUUUACCUCAUCCGCAGGUCAAUGUCACAGGGGAUAUCAAAAUUCACAAAGCUAGAAUGUCACGAAUUCCAGCACCUUCACGGGAGCUUGAGCAUCAGAGGAGCUAUGUAUGUCUGUCACGAGGGCAGGACUGACGAAAGAGUUUCUGGGAAGGAUCUGAGAUGGAUCUCCUCCCUGUCACUGUUUUGUGCCACCGUUGCUGAACGGAGAGGCACUGCCGUUCUGAUGCGGGCUAUCCUCUCGAUAUACCGAGUUCAACAUGGCAAGUUCUCGAAGUUGUUGUCUCUUGACGUUGUCUUGUGACUCAUCCUGCAUGAUAACCCAUCAAUGGAUUGAGAUUUUUUUACACACAAGAGAUGAUGAAAAAAACAGAUUGUGCAUCUACAUGUUCGUCGUCUAUCUGUUAAAUUGUGGAAGAAGCUAUAGAAAAUAAAUGCAAGUCAGCACAACUGCACAUAUGCUCUAGGACACUAAGAACACCUCUACAUAAAGAGGGCUCUCCAGAUGACGUUAACCCGAGGCCCCUCCUCCACACAAAAAAAAAAAAUCCUUGUCCUUUCUGUUAGAUAGUGAAGCGUGUUAAGUACCAGCUAGACAGUUAUAUAGUGUUCAAUCAUACUGAUGCUAAAAUCCUUUCUGUUAGAGUGUUUAUGUACUAGUCCUUAUCUAUGGCCCAUUAGGGUUCCCUAUAUUUGUACCCUUGUCCUCUAUGGCUGUCAACUAGGGUUUCCAACAUGGUAUCUCAGCCUUAGGUUUUUUCCUUUCUCUCAUCCUCUCCUCCCUACAGCCGCCGCCGCCGCCGCCAUGGUUGGCCGGCCGUUGGCUCUUCCCCCCUCUCCCUCUCUCCUACCGGGCGGCGCUGGCCGCGCCUCCUCCCUUUGCGUGCGCCUCUCCAGCUAACGACCCGCCUGGCUUGCCCUCAUGGCCGCCAGCGUCACGACUUCCUCUCUGACCCCGAGCAACCCUCCUCCACCCACGUCGCCGCCGUUUUCGGCCGGAUCCGGCCUCACCGGCGCCCAAUCCGCGUCGACCGUGCCUCCACCGCCCACGCCGCCACCGGCUCCGGCCUCGACGGCGCCCGACCCGCGUCGGCCGCUCCUCCUCCGCCCGCUUCCCAGGCGGCCGUGUCCGGCCCCGACGACGCUCGGCCUGCCCCUGGCGGCUCCCUCCCCGACGUUGUGGUGCUCUCCCAGGUGUCGGCCGCCGAUGGCUCCCCCGACUUCCUCUCCGGCGCGCUCGGCUCUGCCCUCUCCAUCCCGGAUGUGCUGCCUGAUGCAGUCCUGCUCCGUUCCCAGCUGCUGGCGUUGAGUUUUCCCCAUGGCUUGCUCGGAAUGACCCCACCUAUGACGGUUGGGGCCCACAUGCGUGACUACCCACCACCGACGACCGUCUACAGCCAGUCGUCCGCCCUCACGUCAUCACUGCGCGCUCCUUCGGAUGAUGCUGCUACCAUCCUCGCCGAAAUCGGGGUUGCCGUUGCGGCGGCUCGCCAACGGGCCCAGGACGCUGCCCGUGCUCUUGAGCAGGAGCAGGCGCUGGUUGACGCCAUCGAGCGCCAGUACGCCGAGACCUACCAUCGUCUCGCUGGCAAGGGCGUGUCGGAUGGUUCUCGCACGUCCGCUCGUCACAGUGCCGACACCUUCGAGCCCGCGCCCGCCCCAGCCUUGACUCUUCGCGCCUCUCUUCACGCCCAGGCGGCGGCCCUCACGAGCAUCUGGGCAACCGUCACCGACGUUCUCGCGCCGGACUCCACUCAGUACUCUCGGUGGCGGGACCAGGUCCUGCAGACCCUCCGCUACUACGCCCUCGCUUCGAUCGCGUGGCACCGGUCCUUACCCACAUGAAGUCGUUCCCCACUUUUGAGGAGACCCAAGAACAAUCUGCUUCUCGAGGAACUUCGCCUCUCCGCCACUCCAACCAUCGCUCCAGCCACGUCGCUCUACAGCGUGCCUCGGGCUGCCCCCUCGGACUCCGGGGGGGGGGGGUUCCUCUUCACAGCACUCCGGCCCCGCCGCCCUCUGGAGCUCCACGUCAGGCUACUGGCUCCGAGGGGGUCACGGUCGCAAGGGUGGAUGCGGUGGGGGUGGCUCUCCGGGUGGUUCUGAGUGGCCAUCCUUCUACAACCUGUGGACCGGCACCAUUCACAUGUGGCCCGGGCCGUCCGCGGGUGCCUCGGCCCCUCGCCCCAUCACCUCUCAGUAGGCCUUCUUCUCCGUUGCACCUCCGGUGGCGCCCUCGACUCCUCCCUAACCUCAGCAAGGGCUCCUGCCGCUCCCAGGGCCUCCGGCCCAGCCCAUGUGGGGGCCCUGGGCCAAUGGGUGGGACGCGCAAUCUUUGGCCAGCUCCUUCUCCACGAUUACCGUCGCAACCCACUUAGCAGCAUCCUUGCUAACUCAGCUAAAUGAUGAUGCCAGUGACGUUGGUCGCACCCAACCGCCAUCCUCCACAAACCGUGGUGGAUGACACUACCACCACAUCAUCAUCCCACAAUCAUAAUACCCUUGGGGCAACCACCCUGACCUUCACUUUAGCCUCGACAUACACAACCCCCCCAACCUAAAACUCAAACUAAAAAUGCCAAUCACAAAACCUAAACCUAACAAGAGUACCAUCCAUCGAUCGAGCAUAAUCACAGAACCACGGCCAUCAAUGGAUCUAGAGGUUUGUCUCGUUCUUAGUUUCCUACUUCACCCCCUUUCAUCAUUCCAUUUGUGCAAAAUCUUCUCUUCAAUAGGGCAAGUUGAUCAAUAUUUUUAUGAAAUUGCAAAAAAAAACAUUGCCGAACUUAAUAAUGGCCCAUUUCUUUGACCUUUCCUAAAAGGAUGGAUUACGCUAAUGAAUUGCAGAGUGAGGAGUAGAUAAAGGUAGAGGGUUAGACAAUCAUAUGUAUACCACUGGUUUCAGCAACUCCUCCAGUAUCUCCUGUGCUUGUGCCAGUCUGGCAUCAAUAACAUCAGCAGGUAAUUCAGCCUCGAUCAAGAUAUGUGUUGGAUCGCCCAAGUGUUCAUAGCCAGGCCUUCCCUUGAGCUGUUCCUCCUACAGGAAACAAACAGAAUGGCAUGUCAGCGUUGUUUGCUAGUCCCAGGAAGUGGAGUAUGAGAUCUUAAGAUAAAUAUCAGUUGGUUACAAGAAAAUUUUAGCCUAUAAUGACCACUUAUGAUUCAAUGUAAAAAGGCACAAACAACUGUAUGAAGAAUCAGCUUAUGAAAAUGAGUGAGAACUUAUUUACUUUCACAGGAUCUUUUACGGAGCCCUUCCCUCUGAUGAAAACACGGCAACCUGUAGUAGCUUCAACUCUCUUUAGCGAGUGUCCCCUUGGCCCAAGCAGACGGCCAAUGAAGUUAAACUGCAUAUAUCUCAGGUAUAAUUAAUAAAUAAAAAAUAUAAAUUGAUAGUAGUAACCAACUAAUCAUCACUUCGUGAGAAGCAGGAAAGAACGAACAUACAUUGGGGUAAGCAUCUGUUGGAACUUCCAAUCGCACAAUCUUCUUGACAAUGUAGGAGGAAUGGUUCUGUACAGCACCUUGCCAGCCCAUGGCUCCCCUAGGUAAACCAUUUCUCUGGAAAGCCAUAGUAUAAAAAUAGAAUUGUAAGUUAAGCUUGCUUCAUUGAAGAUAAAAUUGAUAAACAGUGAAGCAAUUAAUCAGUAUGCGAGCAAAAAAAAAAAACUGCAAAACAAAGAGUAGUUGAAAGUACUAUUGUCUUCUCAAUAUGAAAAUAAGUGAUUUAAAAGUAUCCUGCAUAUUUCCAUCUUUUUUGGUACAACUGAUGCCUUCGAAUGAAGAAAAAAAAAGUACUAUUUUAUAAGCAUUCAACAUACAAAAUUAGCUUUUAAUAUACUCUUCCAUGAAGCUUCAGAGGAGAACAAUCAUUCAACAUGAAACCAGAUUGACUUUUCAAGAACUGUAAGAUUUAGGCUUCAGAAUGGAAAAGAAAAGAGCAAAGAUUGGAUCCUUUGGCGUGAGGCUAGUUUCACAACUACUCUUAUGAGCCAAGUGCAAAAUAUUUUUCAGAAACUAGGUAAAUAACAUAGCAGGUGGUGUUAAGAUCUAUUGGAUACAGAGAAGAUCUUGUAGGUUGUAACUUGUAACAAUCAAAGGGAAGAAAACUUGCUUGAUCCAUCUUCACAAUGUCUACUAAAAUGAAUCCAAUGCAUUGAGCAAAACAAAUGAACCUAUUUGUUCAAUUCAAAACUUAAACAUAUGGAAUGAAAUACUAAUUAUGUGAUAUACUUGGAGCGUUCCAAUCAACUCAAGCUUUCUUUUAAGAUUUCACUAUAAAGGGUCAGUCAAACUUUAAGCUUAGAAUAUUUGAUGUAGUUUUCUAAUAGGCAAGGGUCGACCUCUCUAUUAAUGUAUGUACUCCAGCUCAGUAUAUAAUUUCUGAUCAUUUUGGGUCUCAUGCAUGCAUUUUUUAGCAUGCUAUAAAGGUAGCUUGUUUAUCCCAUUGACACAUCUUGACAUCCACAAACCACCCAUGAACAGCUAUAUUAUCCAAAGAGUGGUUUGACAAACACGUUAAAGACAAGAUCAUAUGAGUAUUUAGUAUAUCCUACUAAAGGUACAACAAAGUCGGCUUUGCCGUUAUUGAAAAAAAAAUAACAACAAAAUGUGAAAACUAUAUUUGCGUUUCUACUUCAAUAUCAGGCAACCUACACAUUGUGUAACAUCAAUUUUCCAUAAUGAAUUCUGUAGCGCACAGUUCGGAGGUAUCAAGUAAAUGAAUGAACUGAAAUGGCAAAACAAUUUUAGUAGCUAGUACAGAUACCUCAGGAUGCAUCUCAUUCCAAGGACCAAAACUGUUUCCACAGAAAUUAGGCACCCGGGGCAAUGGAUGCAUAUGGUUUGGACUUGCAAUUGGUGGCGACCUCUCAUUUCCUCUGAGUCCAAAGUUAGAAAGCAGGUUUGAUAUUCUCCGUAUCUCUGCACACAUUAUUGUUUGCAAUCAGCAUAACAUUGUCAUAAGACUAAAUACCUAUUAUUGAUAAAUCUCUAGCAUUUUUAGCACCAGACCAAUCAUAUUUUGUACCAAGAUACCGUGGGACCUCUCCGUACAGGUGGUCCCACGUUAAAACAAUGUGCCAUGUAUGAACAAAGUGAAUUAAAAGGUUACUCUUUCACCAAUCACCAUAGACAGAGCCCGUACAUGAACAGAGCAUAUGAACUACAGAAUCUGAGCAAGAUUGCUAUAAAUAAAGCUAAAAAUUAUCUCACCUUGAUUCAACAGCAUGCCGCAGAUUGGGAGCACCUGCACGAAGGGCCCGAGCUUCUGUUGCUCCUGCAACAAGUCAUCCAGAUACUGACUGCGCCGCCGCAAUCCAAUCGAAUCAACACAGAAAAAAAAAAGACACGAUUAAAACCACGAUACAAGAAGUCAAGAACAACAAGAACAGGGGAACAGGUUACAGCAAAAAAAAAACCAGUAUAUUUCAAGGAUCCAAACGGAGUGCCCGUCUUACAUGGCAAUGUCGGGUGAUGCAGGGGGCCUCACAAUCGGCAUCGGGGACAUCGCCCUAGCCGGAGAGAAGCAUUUGUCCGUGGCCAUCAGCGCCUGCAUGGCGGCGGGUUGGACUGGGGUUGGAUUAAGCUGCUACCAAUGAAGAGAGGCGACGGCAGCGGACGAAGGAAGAUGUGAUUGCGUUUUCCUUAGAUUUUUGUCGUGUUUUAUCUUCUUUUCUGCUGUGCGGUAAAAUCAGGGGAGGAGGAUUCCAGCAAUCGCGCAUACGAGAUGUCAAAAUCGGGCGCUUCCUCCGGGUGUUUCUUCCGCUGGCUGCCCUCCUUUUUACCUUCUUCGUAGGGUUUAUAGGGGCGAUAAGGUGGAGUAGGUUUUUGGCAGCCGUCGCCGGUUGGUGGAACCUUUUUUUCUUCUACGUUCCCCGGUUUGGCGCAUGGGGUUUUAGGGAAAAAAUUUGUUAUUUUACAGCUCUCGCUUUUGGCUAUAUGUUAGAAUUUGUAUCUAUCAUUUAUAGAUCUGAUGGCAAAUUAAAAUUACAAAUGGCUCGAUUUUAGGGAUGUAUUGAGAUUUGACACAUGUCCGUAUGUACUUAUAGGAUAUGUAAAUUGAAUCGUAUAUAAAGUACAUAAAUUGAUAAAUUGGAUCGACUCUUUAUCUCUAUCUCUACUACUUUAAAAGCAUGUUUGGUAGGGCCUUAAUUAAAAAAAAUUCAGCUUUAGUUUUCCAGCUUCACUAUAAAAUAACUCCAAUAAAUUGUUGUUGUGGGUUCGAUGAGUGUUUGACUUGUACAUGGACUUCAACUUCAGCAAUACAAUUGAUUUAUGUGAGUUUCUCUGAGUUUUCUUGAUUACACUUGAUGAUUAGUUGUUGUCAUAAGAGAACAUAAACGAUAUGUUGUAUAACCAAUGAUAUGAUGGGUAAUUUUCGUACAAAUUCAUGAUAAGGUAUGAAAACAAUGUUUUUAAAGCACUCUUUGAGGAGCUUCAUGAAUUUUAUGAAGUUGAUCUCUAGUUUCAUUUUUUCAAAGCUAUAACUCCUGAAGCUAUACCUACUUGGAUGGAAUAAGAGGAGCUAAAAUGAACCCUAAAAACUUGAAUUGAAGCCCUCUCAAACAGACCAUAAAACACCAGUUUUGUGUGUCACAUAUGAAGUGUGUAAGUCUGUUUCUCUCCUCUGCUUACCCCCUAACAAUGGGCUCAAUAAGUUAUUACACCACAGAUGGACCAUGAGAUAUCAGCCAAACUCAACACGACAGCAAACCACAUGCAGCACCACCUCGCUAGUUGAAUGAGGACGAGCGACUAAACGAGUUAUAAAAAAAAGGAGCCGAGCUUCUUUUAAACUCGUACUUUUCUCAACAUUUCGACUAAGAUAAAAUGUAAUAUUUAUUCUUAUUAGUUUAAUAUCUAUUUUGUGGAUCAUAUGUUCACUUCAAAAUUAAUUUGAUUUUUUAUGGUCAUCAAUUGUAUGUCGUCGCAGCGCACGUUUAUUAUACUAGUUCCACUAUAUAAUCCAUCAUUUUAAACUUUGCAAAACCCACCUAACCAAUCAUUCCUACACCCAUAACCUCCACUAAAUUCACCAAACAAAUUGCACCUAGACUUAACACACUAUCAAAAUCAAUGGUUCAGAUCACUAGAGAACCCUUCUCCCUUACUCAAAUUCAAUAAGACAAUAUUAUUUUGGAUCAUUUCUCAUCCAUCCAUCCCAUGGCCCUGCCACCCCAACCUUGCCCUACCCCUCCCCUGAGUCCCGUCGCCCCCUUCCCCUUUCUCACAUCGUAGCCGACAUCGUCAACUCCUCCCCUCGCGUCGCCGCCACUGUUGAUCUAUCCCCGGGAUCGUAGCGUUAGCACGAGCUAUGUGAUAAUCCUUUCUAAAUUUAUAGGAAUAUUCCAUCAAUUUAAACUUUGCAAAAUUCACCCAACCAAAUCACCCCCACACCCAUAACUUCCACUAAAUACACCAAACAAAUUGUACCAAGACUUCACACACCAUCAAAACCAACGGUUCAGAUUGCUGGAUAACUCUCUUUCCUUUACUCACUCAAAUUCAAGGGACAAUAUUAUUUGGAUCAUUCCUCAUUCCUCCUUCUCCUCUCUCCCCCGCCACCCUAGUCUCCCCAUCCCCCAAAAGCCCUCUCCUCCUCAUUCUCGUCACCACCUCCGCCGUCAACCCCUACCUAGGAUCGUGGCGUUAGCACGAGUUAUAUGCUAUAGUUCUUUUAAAUUUAUAGGAAUAGAGAUUCUAAUAAACAAAUAUCAUCUAACAUACUUUAAUUUAUUUUUAAUUAUAGUUAUUUUUAUUGUAGAUUUUUCGUUAGUCCAAUAUAGAAAGCGACGACGGCUCUACAGAAUGCAUGUAUAAAGAUAGAAAGACCGAUUUUUUUAAAAAAUAACUCUUUAAACUAUGAUUUAAAGAAUAAGAUUUAGAAAGACUCUUGAAGAUAGUAGUAAUAACAUCUAAUUAAGUCAAUCUCGAAUAUGUUUUCAUCCCAACAUAUUUAUACCAUGAAAGUAUUGUUAUCACAAAAUACACCUUUUCAUUUGUGCUAAGUAUUGUCAUAUAUGCAUUUGGAGUAAAAUGCAUCAACGGUCCUUAAACUUGACAUGUAGUGUCACUUAGGCCCAAACUUAGAAAAUAAGGAAAACUAGUCCUUGAACUAUGUCGACUCGCGCAAAAUUGUCCAAAAAUGGAUUUGCUCAAACCAGAUGCAGAUGUGGCCUACCACGCUAAAGGACACUAAUGAAAGUUCAGAGACUCAAGUGAUAUAGCAUACUAAGUUUAAGGACCUAAGUGACAUAGCAUGUCAAGUUCGGAGACUGAGCAUACAAGGUGGUACCUGACAGGUGUGGGGUGACUCCAACAUGGCAUGUCGGUCGCCAUCUGCUUUGAGCAAAUCCAAUUUUGGACAAUUUUGCACACGCCGACAAAGUUCAAGGACCUUUUUUGCUUUUCUAACUUCGGGGCCUAAGUGACAUAACGUGCCAAAUUUAAGGACCAUUGGUGCAUUUUACUCUAUGUAUUUGCAUAUGUCCACUUGAAAGUGCAUUAAUCCCUUUGUGAGUUUUGGUGAUUUGGAUAACAACACAUUUAAAGGUCUAACAAGUUUGCUAAGUGUUGAACAGGAAAUUCAGUAUGAUGAACAUACUUGAAUAGUGUAUAAUGAUCAGUGAACAAGGUUCAACACAAGGUCAAAUAACCAGUGAGACAAUGCAAAUGGAUAUAAUAUGGUCUCUAUAUUGGUUUGAAUAUAUGGACAAGUCCUGAUAAAUCACUAUGCAUAAAUAUGAUCAUAAUAGAGGUUGAAGUGAUUAAGAGGAUUGGUCAAGCCAAAGUGAAUAAGAUAUGAGGAAUCGUGAAUUGGCUUGACCAUAUUACUAUUAGUCCAUAUAUGAAUAUAUGAGAAUCAAACUAGAGCUUGAUUGAUCUUAGCAGUUAUAUCUAGAUGACAUUCAAGCAAGGUUCACAAUAUUGAAGAAAUGAUUCUCUCAAUGGAUGCUCAAUAGGAUGUGACUCAAGAAUAGAUUGAUAGGGUGAAGAUAGCAAGGAAAGGGCUUCGAGGAACUAAGCGAAGGUGAAGGCCAAGCGACGGCUUGUAGACCGAGGUACCAUGGCUAAGGUGAAGAAGAGAGUACUUGCACUAAGUCGAUGAACUAAUCAGCUAUGAAGAGUUACAACAUGUUGAUGCAUCAGUAAGGUGACUUGAAGCCAUGAUUUGAACUCAUAUAUGGUGAAAUGGCACAAGUCACAGGCUCUAUUUGUGUUUGCUUCAAAAGGUGAGACAAGGAUGUUUGUGAUCCUUAUGAAGCAACACCAUGGAGAAAUCACACUUGAGACACCAAUGACUCAAGGAGUUUACUUAAUUAUAUUUUAUUUAACUUGAGUAUAGGAAUCGUCGUACUAUCAAGGGGGAUUCAAAAAGAAGGUUGGUGUUGAUACUAAAGCUCAAAAUCCUUGAUCUAAAACUUCCAUUUUACCCUGGUUUCACUUUGUUUUUCUCAAAAUCUGUGCAAUAGUUCAAAAACCGGUUCAACCGGACCUAAAACCGGUUCAACCGGUUUCUACACUGUUCCCCUCUGUCACUGCCAGUCUGUCAGUCAGUCCUGUCAGAAAAAGUCAUGUGCAGAUUUUUGGAAAACCGGUUGAACCGAAUUUUGAAUCCGGUUCAACCGAAUUUGAAACCGGUUGAACCGAAUUUUGAAUCUGGUUCAACCGAAUUUGAAACCGGUUGAACCGAAUUUGAAACCGGUUCAACCGAAUCUGAGUCCGGUCCAGUCUCCGGCUGAGUCCGCCAGUGAACCGAAAACCGACUGGUGGAAUCCGGUUCAACCGAAUUUGAAACCGGUUCAACCGAAUUUCAGUCAGAUUUCCCCAACGGCCACCAGCUUUUGGGAGCACCUUUAUAUACACCUCCCACACUCUUCCCCACAGUAGAGCACGCACAAAACUCCAUUUCUAACCUGAGAAACACCUCUCACUCUCUCUCACACACCUCUUGCCUCUCCCAUUUCAAAUCUUUGGAGAGAAAUCUUUGAGUGAGAUUGAAGAGCUGCGAUUUUGGUGCUUCAUCUCUAAAUCCUUCUUGCUCUUCUUGAUUCGAGCUUUGGUACUACAUCGAGUUCUUUGUGGAUUCAUUACUCUUGGAGCUUCUAGCUCCUAGACGACUAGGUGUCUCUUGUGAGUCUCCAAAUCUUGUGGAAGAUCACAAGAAAGUUUGUAUUACCCGCUCGUUUGAGCAAAGAUUAUUGUGUGGGCUUGACCUUUGUGGUCGGCAAAGGGAGGAUUAGGGUUGAAAGAGACCCGGCUCUUUGUGGGCGCCUCAACGAGGAAGUAGGGCACCUUGGUGGUGUGACCGAACCUCGGGAUAAAUCUUGUGUCUCUUGUGUUCUUGUUCAUUGUGCUUAUACGUGUUCUUCGUUCUCUCACUAUUGCGUGGAAGAUUUGUUUAUAUAUAUUUGGUGUCUGGAUUUUGAGAAGUGCCCUUCUCAGAUCUACUAUUUUGAACCCUGUGGAUCAACUAGAACAUCUCAUUUCCAAAGUUAACUGGGUGAAUUUCGAGAUCAAUUCAGUUUUACUCAGUUUGCUUCUAGUUCUUGUUGAAAAAGUUUUAACUUGCCUAUUCACCCCCCCUCUAGGCAACUUUCAAUUGGUAUCAGAGCCUAAUCCUCGUUCUAACGCUUAACCGCGUGAGGAAAGAUCAUGUCGGGGGGACUAAGAAAUGAAAGUGCUUCUAAGCUUGAAAAAGUUGAGGUUGCCUCGACUUCAUCUUUUGUUGCAGAUGUUGAUCCUAGGGCAAUAGACCUUGCCAUAAGAAUCGCCGAAAGGAUGUUCCUCAAAAUGAAGGAAGAUGAGGUGAAGAACAAAAUUGAAGAAGAAAAUGAUCGAUGGAGACCAAAUGACGAAUCCACCUCUUCACAAGGUUCGUCUUUCAAAUCCACUUCUCAUAUGUGCUUUAUUGCUAAUGGGAGUGACAGUGAAAGCGAAAGUGAGGAUGAGGAGGAGCAAGAAAGUGAUAGUGAAGAUGAGGAUGAUCUUCAACAAUUCUUCGCUCAGCUAAGCAAGAAACAUCGGAUGAGCUUGCUCAAACUCAUGAAAAGAGCGGAAGAACAAAAAGAAAUGCUUCAUAAGCAAGAAGACUUCCUCAUCAGAAAAAUUGAAGACUUAGAGAAGUUGACCAAAGAGCAUGAGAAGCUAAAGUGCUCUCAUGAUGAUUUGGUCCAAAGGUAUGAAGAUAUUUCAAUUGAGCAAAUUAAAGUUGUUAAUCAUUCAUCAUAUAUUGCUCAAUUAGAAAAUAAAAAUGCUAUGUUCAAGAACAUGAUAGAAAGGCUAAAUAUUGAAAAUCUAGCUUUGCAAGAAAAACAUGAUAUGCUUGUGUGCUCUCAUAAUAAAUUUAUGGAUUCACAUAUCAUGUUAGAAAUGGCUCAUGAGGUUGUGUUAACUAAUUUGAAAUCAUACCAACCUCACAUAUGCACAUGUACUCAAGUAGAAACUAUAUUAUCAUGUGCUAACAAAUGUUGCUCUCAAGAAAGCCAAUCUUCCAUUGAGCUAGAAAUUUCAGGAAUUAGUGAUAUUUCUAUGACACAAGAAAAUAAAGAGCUCAAGGAAGAAGUUGGAAGGCUAAGAAGGAGCUUAACUCUUUUGAAGGGAAAGUGUCAUGCUCAACCUUCUCAAGAUAACCGUGAUAAUAUGGUGAAAAAGCUUGAGAAGGGGACAACCGUAGCAUGCACAAAACCCCUUCAAAAGAAUACCAAGCUUUCCAAGAAGGGCAUGAGCAAAAUCUAUGGUGAGAAAAUUAAUGCUCAUAUGAUUUGCUCUAACAAUGUACCUAUGUGCUUCGACAAAGAAAGAUCAAAGAGAAGCGAUAGGAGGUGCUAUGGAUGCAAGGAGAAGGGCCAUGAAAUUGAUUCAUGCCCCCACAUGAAGAAUCAAGACCUUGCACGAUCAAGAAAGAUGACCAUCAAAAAGGAUGAAAGCAAAAGGCAAAUGCAUUGCAAGGACAAGCAUCACAUUUGCUACAACUGCCGUGAAAAAGGUCAUAUAUUCAAGGUUUGUCCAAAGGGUAAAACUCCUAAGCCUAACUUGUCAAUACAUUCAAAUAUGCUUAGGAGACCCAAAUUUGACUCUUGUGCUAGAAAGGUGAUGAGUUCACCACAUUCUAGGACCAAGGCUAUUUGGGUGCCUAAGUCCUUAUUGGCUAACCUUGAUAGACCUAUCAUGAGAUGGGUACCAAAAUGUACUUAAUAAGUUUUGCAGGUACCCAGAGAUGAUAUGAAGCCUUGGGGGUGCUUGAGCGGUUUAACUCAAUUCUUAUCUCAAGCUAUCAAUCUUACAUUGUCUAUCCUUUAAGAUUGACCCAAAGAUGAAUUGAGUUGUUAUAUCACUAACUUCAUAUUCAUCUCUAGCAAGAACUUGUGUUGUAGGGGAUAAGGAUUAACCUUUGUGGGAAUCAAGCAAAAGGCCUACAACCAAGUGAUAUCCAAAGGAUGGUAACAAUUAAUUCUUAAGUGCACAUUGCUUUUUAAUUGUAUAUUCCUUUGUGUCUUUUGUAGCCACAUAGGAAAAAUGAAGCACUUGAGAAUGAACUUAAGAGAUUUUACCUUGCUUUGGAAAGGAUCUAAUUAUAUGGUAGAUUGCAAGUUCAUAUUUUUAUAUUGUGACAAUCUACAUGCUUUAAAUUGAUUAUAUGUACCUUGUGGCAUAUUUCAAAUUAAUUAUCGUGUUAUUGCCAUGACCUAGACAUAAAGAGGAUUAUCCCAUGUUCUUAAAUGAAUAGAGUGCUAAGUAAGAAAUUCAAAUUCUUAUAGCACUUACCAAAUGGGGAAUUCUCUAUAUGACUAGAGUUGUGAGACUAAUGUUUCUAUCUAAGUGUUUAUGUAGUCUCACAACAUGAGAAUGUGUUUCCCAAAUGGAGUGUGCCAUUCAACAUUCAAAGAAGAUCGAACCAAUACUAUGUGAUGUAUUCAUUCUUGUUUAAAUUGGUUUUGAGUCUUCUACAUUAAUCACUCACCAUGCUAUGAAUUAAACUUGCCAUGUGAACUUAAUUAAAUAAUCAUGCUACUUUCAUCUUUUUUACAAUUGAUGUUAUGCAUGAUGCUUGUAAGGGUAAUUUAGUUCAUAUCAUGAGGUUUCCUUGUUUUAGUAACCUUCUUGUCAUUCAUAUACUAGAGGUUGUUAAAUAGGAAAUUAUCGCUUGUGUUACUAAUACAAUCUCUUUUAAGAUAUUUCAUUGAAAUUCAUAAGUAGAGAUUGUGCUCUUUCAAUUGGUAAAAUCACAAGCUUUAAAGGUUAAUCUUCACCUAAAAGAAAGAUUAGGAAUGCUCAAGGCAAAGGUAUGGAACAAAUUGCUUCAAUUGGUAGUUGAUCAAUAGUAGUUCCUUCCAAGUGGCAUUCUUUCAAUUGGUAAUAAUAUAUUCUAUGGAAAGGAAUGUCAAUAUGAAGGUUAAAUUCCUUUUGUCUUAAAUUUAUAAAUUAGUGCAAAUUGUGAAUUCACUGCUCCAUGUGCAUUAACUUAAAAGGAAUUUAAUUUAUGCCUUUACGCCACAUAAAUGAUGAUUUGUUUGCCAUUCAUAUAUAUAUAUAUAUAUCAUCAUUCAUUAAACACUUCCUUGUACUACUAAUAUCUCUUUUCAAAGUGUUCUAUCGUCUAGUUUUAAAAGGAAAAGAGAUAACAAAGAAGGAAGUCUCCACAAAUGAUGAAAAGAAGAAUACUAAGGUGACACCACCACAGAUAGUAAGAUCUAUCAAAUUGGUAUAACAAAUGGUAUGUUCUUUAUGGUGGUAAGUAUUCUUAGGCAUAAGUUAAUUCAUUGCAAAUUUGUCAUGCCUUGACCAUGAUAUGUAAUGUACUCCUCAUGAGACUCUUAACUGAAUUGAAAGUGCAUGUGGUAAGUCAUUCAAAUACUUGAUGCACAUAUCUAGUGGGAGAACAUUAUAUAUCUUGUGUCGUAGAGAAUAAGUUUCCCUUGAGUAAGCUAUACUAAGACAAUCCAAAAUGGUAAAUUUGUAUCUCAUUCAUAUGGAUUGUAAUCUUUGUUUUUUUAAUAGCUACUCUUGAUGCAGUUUAAAAUUCCCUUAUAGUUAAAUCUAAAAGUGCAUAAGAAUCUUUUUUGUUGAUAUUCAUCUCAUACAUAUGCACUAACAUGGAUAUGAUUUUUAAACUGUAAAAGGUACAAUUAGUGAUCCAUACUCUCUAAAUUUUGGAAACCCAUAUUUUGAUAUCUUAGAAAUAUACUUCAAUCGGUAUCCAUAUGCUUCACAUUGAAUUGGAUCACUAAGUUGUAAAUUACAUGCAUAACUUGUCUUUAUGAUAUGAAUGCUUGUGCAAUUAACCUUAAUAAGCUAGGUGCACCCAAGGUCAAGCUAGGUUCAUCAUCAAGAAGGCAACACAAUGAUGUAUCAAGAAAAGGAGAAAAAGCUCCUAUUCUUAACUCUAGCUUUUAUCUAUGUGAUUAAAUAUUGACUUGAAACCAUGUAAGAUGGUUGUCAACUAUAUGUGGGUGCCUACACAAAGAGAAAUGUUACAAUAAGGAUUGUGUGGGUACUCAAGGCUCUUACUACUAAUCUCAAAGGACCCAAUUCAAAUUGGGUACCAAGCUAUGCAGCUUAAACUUGUUUUGCAGGAUCACGCCUUCAAUGGAUCAAGUUGGGUGCUCGAUAAUGAAUGUAUAAAUCAUAUUUGGAGAUAGUAGCAAGGGUGGUAACAACUGAACCUGAAGUGCAUAUUAUUUUCAAAUCUUAUCCUUUUUUGUGACUUAUGUAGCCACUAAGGAAAAAGAAUCACUUGAGGAUAUACAUCAGUUGUUGAUUAUGAAAUAAAGGUCUAAUUGGAAGAUGAAUGAAUAUUAUCAUAUGGUGAACAAUCCAAAAUUAUGUGACGUAUUCUCUAUCUAGUUAAUUUGGAUUUGAUUCUUCUUUAUUAGACACUCACCAUAAUAUGGAUUAAGUCAGCCCUUUAGACUUCAUUGAAUAACCAUGCAUAUUAUCCAUGUCAUUCAAAAUAUAUUGUGCAUGAGGGCUCAAGGGAAAUUUAGUCCAUAUUAUGAUAUUUCUCUAUUUUAGCAACUUGCUUGCCUUCCACAUAUAAAGGGUUGUUAAAUAAGAAACUAGUGCUUGUGCUACUAAUGUCAUCUCUUGUGUUGAGUUUAUCCAUAGAAAAUCUAUGUUGAGAGAUGGUGCUUGUUUUAAAUUGGAUAAAUCACAAGCUUAAAGGAUACUAUUCAACUAAAGUAAGAAGAAGUUGAUAAGAGGCCAAGGUAUGAAAACUUCCUAUCCUUCAGUUGUUUUAGUAUUCUAUCCUUAGUGGGAUGUACCACAAUAUAGGUUAAAUUCAUUGCAUUAUAAAAUGUUCAAUAGUGCAUAUAACUUUGACAUCAACUAUAUGUGUGCACUAAUUUAAAGGAAUUUAGUCUAUCCUUUUGGGUUUCAAGAAUGAUGGUUCAUUUUCAUCCACAUAUAAGGAGCAUCAUUUGUGAAACCUUCCCAUGUGUUUUUAAUGUUCUCUUUUCUAAGUGUUUGAAUAAGGUCCUUCCAAGUGCUUUCAAGAUGGAUUCAAAAUCUACGGAUAUAAGAGUCUUGGUUAUUUCAAUCAUUGAGUUUCAAUGGGUCUCAUAUCAUGUAUGAUUGAACCAUGCCAAGAUGAAUGAAGUUCAAGAUUGCCUGGUUGGAUGAAAUCAUAAAGAAACAAGAAAUCAUAGUGAUUCAAGAAGGGAGUUACACUUUUUGUCAACCAAAUAAUGAAGAUGUAGUGACAUAUUUAAAUGAUAUCCUUCAUUAUGAGGUUUGAGGUUCAUAUUAGCAUGCUUUACCCUUUAGAAUUUCAAUUGAUAUACUUUCAGUUCUUAAACUUUGAAUUGGUUUGAUUUUCAUCAUCUAUGUAAAGCAUGUUAUGUUAAACCAAGAUAUAGCGCAAACUUCACCUUUAACCUCGUAUUGUUGAUGUGCAUGAGUGUACUUUGUGUACUCUUGCAUGCACAAAUUGAGGAAGAGUUUAGCCUAUAUCUUGUGAGGCUAAUGAUUUCUUCAAGUUCAUGUUUUAUAGUCUCACACCUUGGAGAACAUCAAAUGAGGAUGAGUGGUUCCAAGGAAAUGAUCAGAUAUUUACCACAUGUCACCCCAUGGAUUAGUUCUAUUGGGGAACAAUAUGUGUUCUCUAGCAUAAAUUCAAUUGUUUCAAAUAUAUUAUGCCCUGGCCAAGAUAUAUGAUGAACCCCUCUAAGAAUCUUAAUUGAAUCAAGUGCAUGUUACAAGUAAUUCGAGUACUUGAUGCACACAUUUAGGGGGAGCUCAUUCUAUAUCUUGUGUCCUUAAAGACUAACAUUUUCUUUUAGUGAAUUUGUGUAAUUCUUUGAAGAGAAUGAGUUUCUCUUGAUCAUUUAAAAAGGAUAAGUUUUUCUUUGAAAUGUCAAGCCUAUCAAAAGCUAAGAUAGAAAUUCAUGAUUAUAAUAAAGACCAUAUGGCAUGGAACAAAGGUGUGUCACUCCAUGAACUAUUGUAUUACAUUUGUGUAUCUAGGCUCUUACAAGUUAGUGUAUGCAUGUAUAUGCAAUAUCUUAAGUCACAUCAUAAGGUUGCACUUGAAUCUUGGCUUAAAAUAUUGCAUAUCAUGUCUAUUAGUAUACCGUUUGAUUAUGAGUAAUUCCUUAAAUUGGUGCAAUUUUCAUACUUUAUUUGUACCAAGGUUCAAAUUGUAGAACUUAAUCCCCUGGCCUCACAAGUCCAAGUGCAUAAAGUAAAACAAGUAUUCAUCACUUGUAUGCACACAUUUAGGGGGGAGAAUGGUCUAUAAUUUGAAUCUUUGAGACUAACUUCAUUUUCAAGUCUAUUAUGUGUGUAGUAUCAAAUUAGAAAGGAAUCUUCAAGCAAAGACAAUCGCUUCCACUGCACAUUUUGAUGGGUAUCAAAGAUUCUUUGCUCCAAUAAAUGUAUCUUCUAUAUAUUUCAUAAGAGAAUGAGUUUCUCUUAUAUAUGCUACUCCAACGUCAUCUAAAAUUGGUAAAUAUGUAUCACAUCUUUUUGGAUUACAAAUAUCUGAAGUAGCAUAGCUUAUAGAUUCUCCUGUCUAGAACUUAAUUGAUUAAAUAGUGCACAUGUUUCUUAUGUUGCAUGAUUAUGUUUAAUUGAUACUCAUUUUAUGCCAAUGGUACUUUAAAUUACAAAUAAGUACUCUCAACUGGUAUCAAUUGAAUUCAUAUAUAUGUGCGCUCUAAAAUUUGAGGAGAACUUAGUGUAAUAUGCAAUUAGUGAUAUGUUUAUCUAUCAAAUUAAAUCAAUUGGUGUUUUUUCAAUUGAUAUUCUCGUGAAUGAUCACUAGUUGUAUAAUCCAUACUUGUGCAAUUUUCAUGUUGCCUCUUGUUAUGAUAAGAAAAUGCUAGGUGACAUCUAGACUCCAGGUAUCAAGAUUUAUCUUUCAAUUAGUAUGCCAAUAUUCAUUUGAUAUCUUGGACCUAUGUCAAAAUUAUACCAACAAGAGCUUGCAAAUGAAUUGUAAAUCCAACACAAGUUUUGAACUCCCCUUGAAAAGGUAAAAUGCAAAGGUACAUCACUUCAUGUCACUUAUCCAUUACCUUUGUGCCAUCUAAGGACCCUCUUCAUGAUAGUGUGUUCAAAUCUUGCUUAAUCAUAAUUUCUACCCUUUAUAUUCUUUGUAUCCUUUUUGGAGAUUUAUGACAAAGGGGGAGAAAUUUUGCAUUAAAGCUUGCCUUUAGUCUUAUGUAACUAAGUGUUAGAAGGCUUUAAAAAGGGGAGAAAUAAUUAAAAAAAGAAAGUCAUAAGAAAAAUAAGAUGUAGAAAGUUGAUGAGUGCAUACUAUGUCAUGAGCAUCACGUUUAUUUUAUGACACACUGCACCCUAUGAAUAGUAUGAUAUAAGUUGUCUCCAUAUUUUGACCCAAAUAUGUGCUUUUGGCAUUUGAGUACAAAAUUGGUAUUUUCUGAAAUGCACAUAUUUAGGGGGAGGAAACUAUAUCAUAGGAUUCAAAAUCUUAUUUAUCAAAUCUUAUGUAAGCUUUAAAUGUGUUGUCAUCAAUCACCAAAAAGGGGGAGAUUGAAAGUGCAUUAAUCCCUUUGUGAGUUUUGGUGAUUUGGAUAACAACACAUUUAAAGGUCUAACAAGUUUGCUAAGUGUUGAACAGGAAAUUCAGUAUGAUGAACAUACUUGAAUAGUGUAUAAUGAUCAGUGAACAAGGUUCAACACAAGGUCAAAUAACCAGUGAGACAAUGCAAAUGGAUAUAAUAUGGUCUCUAUAUUGGUUUGAAUAUAUGGACAAGUCCUGAUAAAUCACUAUGCAUAAAUAUGAUCAUAAUAGAGGUUGAAGUGAUUAAGAGGAUUGGUCAAGCCAAAGUGAAUAAGAUAUGAGGAAUCGUGAAUUGGCUUGACCAUAUUACUAUUAGUCCAUAUAUGAAUAUAUGAGAAUCAAACUAGAGCUUGAUUGAUCUUAGCAGUUAUAUCUAGAUGACAUUCAAGCAAGGUUCACAAUAUUGAAGAAAUGAUUCUCUCAAUGGAUGCUCAAUAGGAUGUGACUCAAGAAUAGAUUGAUAGGGUGAAGAUAGCAAGGAAAGGGCUUCGAGGAACUAAGCGAAGGUGAAGGCCAAGCGACGGCUUGUAGACCGAGGUACCAUGGCUAAGGUGAAGAAGAGAGUACUUGCACUAAGUCGAUGAACUAAUCAGCUAUGAAGAGUUACAACAUGUUGAUGCAUCAGUAAGGUGACUUGAAGCCAUGAUUUGAACUCAUAUAUGGUGAAAUGGCACAAGUCACAGGCUCUAUUUGUGUUUGCUUCAAAAGGUGAGACAAGGAUGUUUGUGAUCCUUAUGAAGCAACACCAUGGAGAAAUCACACUUGAGACACCAAUGACUCAAGGAGUUUACUUAAUUAUAUUUUAUUUAACUUGAGUAUAGGAAUCGUCGUACUAUCAAGGGGGAUUCAAAAAGAAGGUUGGUGUUGAUACUAAAGCUCAAAAUCCUUGAUCUAAAACUUCCAUUUUACCCUGGUUUCACUUUGUUUUUCUCAAAAUCUGUGCAAUAGUUCAAAAACCGGUUCAACCGGACCUAAAACCGGUUCAACCGGUUUCUACACUGUUCCCCUCUGUCACUGCCAGUCUGUCAGUCAGUCCUGUCAGAAAAAGUCAUGUGCAGAUUUUUGGAAAACCGGUUCAACCGAAUUUUGAAUCCGGUUCAACCGAAUUUGAAACCGGUUGAACCGAAUUUUGAAUCUAGUUCAACCGAAUUUGAAACCGGUUGAACCGAAUUUGAAACCGGUUCAACCGAAUCUGAGUCCGGUCCAGUCUCCGGCUGAGUCCGCCAGUGAACCGAAAACCGACUGGUGGAAUCCGGUUCAACCAAAUUUGAAACCGGUUCAACCGAAUUUCAGUCAGAUUUCCCCAACGGCCACCAGCUUUUGGGAGCACCUUUAUAUACACCUCCCACACUCUUCCCCAUAGUAGAGCACGCACAAAACUCCAUUUCUAACCUGAGAAACACCUCUCACUCUCUCUCACACACCUCUUGCCUCUCCCAUUUCAAAUCUUUGGAGAGAAAUCUUUGAGUGAGAUUGAAGAGCUGCGAUUUUGGUGCUUCAUCUCUAAAUCCUUCUUGCUCUUCUUGAUUCGAGCUUUGGUACUACAUCGAGUUCUUUGUGGAUUCAUUACUCUUGGAGCUUCUAGCUCCUAGACGACUAGGUGUCUCUUGUGAGUCUCCAAAUCUUGUGGAAGAUCACAAGAAAGUUUGUAUUACCCGCUCGUUUGAGCAAAGAUUAUUGUGUGGGCUUGACCUUUGUGGUCGGCAAAGGGAGGAUUAGGGUUGAAAGAGACCCGGCUCUUUGUGGGCGCCUCAACGAGGAAGUAGGGCACCUUGGUGGUGUGACCGAACCUCGGGAUAAAUCUUGUGUCUCUUGUGUUCUUGUUCAUUGUGCUUAUACGUGUUCUUCGUUCUCUCACUAUUGCGUGGAAGAUUUGUUUAUAUAUAUUUGGUGUCUGGAUUUUGAGAAGUGCCCUUCUCAGAUCUACUAUUUUGAACCUUGUGGAUCAACUAGAACAUCUCAUUUCCAAAGUUAACUGGAUGAAUUUCGAGAUCAAUUCAGUUUUACUCAGUUUGCUUCUAGUUCUUGUUGAAAAAGUUUUAACUUGCCUAUUCACCCCCCCUCUAGGCAACUUUCACCACUAUUUUAUUUGUAGUAGUGUCACAUCAUUGAUAUAGAACUUUGUUCAUUUUUUCUUUACGGUUACUGAUAGUCGCCUAGAGGGGGGGGUGAAUAGGGCGAAACUGAAAUUUACAAAGUUAAUCACAACUACAAGCUGGGUUAGCGUUAGAAAUAUAAUUGAGUCCGCGAGAGAGGGUGGAAAACAAAUCGCAAGCAAAUAAGAAGUGUGACACGCGGAUUUGUUUUACCGAGGUUCGGUUCUUGCAAACCUACUCCCCGUUGAGGAGGCCACAAAGGCCGGGUCUUUUUCAACCCUUUCCCUCUCUCAAACGGUCCCUCGGACCGAGUGAGCUUUCUCUUCUCAAUCAAACGGGAACAAACUUCCCCGCAAGGACCACUACACAAUUGGUGUCUCUUGCCUUGGUUACAAUUGAGUUGUUCGCAAGAAGGAUUGAAAGAAAGCACGAUUGCAAAAGCCAAGCGACAAGAGCGACAAAUAACACACGGAUCACUUUCUCUCUCAAGUCACUAAUCACUAAUAAUCUCUUUUCUCAAUUGUGGAACUUGGAGAGAUGGAGGCUUUGAAUGUGUCUUGGAAUGGAUUGCUAGCUCUUGUAUUGAAUGUUGAGGGUUGGAAUGCUUGGAUGAAGUGAAUGGAGGUGGUUGGGGUUGUAUUUAUAGCCACCAACCACUUCCUAGCCGUUGCUCCUUUCUGCUGAGCGCGGACGGUCCGCCCGCCUGGUCCGGACGGUCCGCCCCUGUAGAUCAACGGCUGAAAACGCAACGGUCAGCAGUAACAGCUAUAUUUCAUUUAAUGCGUCGUCAGAUGUCAGAUAAAGCCAGUCGCGGACGGUCCGGUCGUGCACCCCGGACGGUCCGCGAGGCCACUAUAAUUCGUUUUUCCGAACCCGUCACCUUCGGGUUUUUCGGUUUCUCACCUACCGGACGGUCCGCGCCAGAGGCCGGACGGUCCGCGCGAGGGCUCGGACGGUCCUUGCUUUUCCUCCAGACGGUCUGUAGUGCAGACUUGGAUUUUUGUAUUGGUUCUGUCCGAGAGUCAUCCUAGUGCUGCGGACGGUCCGCCGCAAGGGCCCGGACGGUCCGCGCUUGGUCUGUUUUUCCAAAAAGCUUCUCCUGUCCGGAAUAAUCUACGGUAUUCCGGACAGUCGAUUUAGUAUAGUUGUAGAUGAACCUUUGGCACCUGUGGAACAUAUAAUCUAGAGCAAACUAGUUAGUCCAAUUAUUUGUGUUGGGCAAUUCAACCACCAAAAUCAUUUAGGAACUAGGUGUACGCCUAAUUCCCUUUCAAUCUCCCCCUUUUUGGUGAUUGAUGCCAACACAAACCAAAGCAAAUAUAGAAGUGCAUAAUUGAACUAGUUUGCAUAAUUGCAGUGCAAAGGUUACUUGAAAUUGAGCCAAUAUAAAUACCCAUAGAGUAUACAUGGAUUGUUUCUUUAAUUUUUUUUAUUAACAUUUUGGACCACGCUUGCACCACAUGUUUUGCUUUUGCAAAUUCUUUUGUAAAUCCUUUUCAAAGUCCUUUUGCAAAUAGUCAAAGGUAAAUGAAUAAGAUUUUGAGAAGCAUUUUUCAAGAUUUGAAAUUCUCUCCCCCUGUUUCAAAUGCUUUUCCUUUGACUAAACAAAACUCCCCCUAAAUGAGAUCCUCCUCUUAGUGUUCAAGAGGGUUUUGAUAUAUCAUUUUUGAAAUACUACUUUCUCCCCCUUUUGAACACAAUAGGAUACCAAUUAAAAAUACUCUUUGAAAAACUAAGUUUUUUGAAAUUGGUGGUGGUGGUGCGGUCCUCUUGCUUUGGGCUCAUACUUUCUCCCCCUUUGGCAUGAAUCACCAAAAACGGAAUCAUUAGAGCCCUCGAAGAACUAUCUUCCCCUUUGGUCAUAAAUAAAUGAGUUAAGAUUAUACCAAAGACGAAGUCCUUUUGUUCUCUCCCCCAAAGAUGGAGAGUGUCAUGGAGCGAUGGCGAAGGAUGAGUUACGGAGUGGAAGCCUUUGUCUUCGCCGAAGACUCCAAUUCCCUUUCAAUACACCUAUGACUUGUUUUGAAAUAGACUUGAAAACAUAUUAGUCAUAGCAUAUGAAAGAGACAUGAUCAAAGGUAUAUAAAUGAGCGAUGUGUGCGAAUUAGCAAAAGAAAUUGCGCGAAUCAAGAAUAUUGAGCUCAUGCCUAAGUUUGUUAAAAGUCUGUUCAUCAAGAGGCUUGGUAAAGAUAUCGGCUAAUUGAUCUUUAGUGUUAAUGUAAGAAAUCUCGAUAUCUCCCUUUUGUUGGUGAUCCCUUAAAAAGUGAUACCGAAUGGCUAUGUGUUUAGUACGGCUAUGCUCGACGGGAUUAUCCGCCAUCUUGAUUGCACUCUCAUUAUCACAUAGCAAAGGGACUUUGGUUGAUUUGUAACCGUAGUCCCGCAGGGUUUGCCUCAUCCAAAGCAAUUGCGCGCAACAAUGUCCUGCGGCAAUGUACUCGGCUUCGGCGGUGGAAAGAGCCACCGAAUUUUGCUUCUUUGAAGCCCAAGACACCAAGGAUCUUCCAAAAAACUGGCAAGUCCCCGAUGUGCUCUUCCUAUUGAUUUUGCACCCCGCCCAAUCGGCAUCCGAAUAACCAAUCAAAUCAAAUGUGGAUCCCCUAGGAUACCAAAGCCCAAACUUAGGAGUAUAAGCCAAAUAUCUCAAGAUCCGUUUUACGGCCGUAAGGUGUGAUUCCUUAGGGUCGGCUUGGAAUCUUGCACACAUGCAAACGGAAAGCAUAAUGUCCGGUCGAGAUGCACAUAAAUAGAGUAAUGAACCAAUCAUUGACCGAUAUACCUUUUGAUCCACGGACUUACCUCCCGUGUCGAGGUCGAGAUGCCCAUUUGUUCCCAUGGGUGUCUUGAUGGGUUUGGCAUCCUUCAUUCCAAACUUGGUUAGAAUGUCUUGAGUGUACUUCGUUUGGCUAAUGAAGGUGCCCUCUUGGAGUUGCUUGACUUGGAAUCCUAGAAAAUACUUCAACUCCCCCAUCAUUGACAUCUCGAAUUUCUGUGUCAUGAUCCUACUAAAUUCUUCACAAGUAGAUUCGUUAGUAGACCCAAAUAUGAUAUCAUCAACAUAAAUUUGGCAUACAAACAAAUCAUUGUCAAGAGUUUUAGUGAAUAUGGUAGGAUCGGCCUUGCCAACUUUGAAGCCAUUUGCAAUAAGGAAAUCUCUAAGGCAUUCAUACCAUGCUCUUGGGGCUUGCUUGAGCCCAUAAAGCGCCUUAGAGAGCCUAUAGACAUGAUUAGGAUACCCACUGUCUUCAAAGCCGGGAGGUUGCUCAACAUAGACCUCUUCCUUGAUUGGUCCAUUAAGGAAGGCACUUUUCACGUCCAUUUGAUAAAGCUUGAAGCCAUGGUAAGUAGCAUAGGCCAAUAAUAUUCGAAUUGACUCAAGCCUAGCUACGGGUGCAUAGGUUUCACCGAAAUCCAAACCUUCGACUUGGGAGUAUCCUUUGGCCACAAGUCGAGCUUUGUUCCUUGUCACCACACCAUGCUCAUCUUGCUUGUUGCGGAAGACCCAUUUGGUUCCUACAACAUUUUGAUUAGGACGUGGAACUAAAUGCCAUACCUCAUUCCUAGUGAAGUUGUUGAGCUCCUCUUGCAUAGCCACCACCCAAUCCGAAUCUUGUAGUGCUUCCUCUACCCUGUGUGGCUCAAUAGAGAAAACAAAAGAGUAAUGCUCACAAAAAUGUGCAACACGAGAUCUAGUAGUUACCCCCUUAUGAAUGUCGCCGAGGAUGGUGUCGACGGGGUGAUCUCGUUGGAUUGCUUGGUGGACUCUUGGGUGUGGCGGUCUUUGUUCUUCAUCAUCCUUGUCUUGAUCAUUUGCAUCUCCCCCUUGAUCAUUGCCGUUAUCUUGAGGUGGCUCAUUUGCUUGAUCUUCUACUUCAUCAACUUGAGCCUCAUCCUCAUUUUGAGUUGGUGGAGAUGCUUGCGUGGAGGAGGAUGGUUGAUCUUGUGCAUUUGGAGGCUCUUCGGAUUCCUUAGGACACACAUCCCCAAUGGACAUGUUCCUUAGUGCGAUGCACGGAGCCUCUUCAAUACCUAUCUCAUCAACAUCAACUUGCUCUACUUGAGAGCCGUUAGUCUCAUCAAACACAACGUCACAAGAAACUUCAACAAGUCCUGAGGACUUGUUAAAGACUCUAUAUGCCCUUGUGUUUGAGUCAUAUCCCAGUAAAAAGCCUUCUACAGUUUUAGGAGCAAAUUUGGAUUUUCUACCUCUUUUAACAAGAAUAAAGCAUUUGCUACCAAAGACUCUAAAAUAUGAAAUAUUGGGCUUUUUACCGGUUAGGAGUUCGUAUGAUGUCUUCUUGAGGAUUCGGUGUAGAUACAACCGGUUGAUGGCGUAGCAGGCGGUGUUGACCGCCUCGGCCCAAAACCGAUCCGAAGUCUUGUACUCAUCAAGCAUGGUUCUCGCCAUGUCCAAUAGAGUUCUAUUCUUCCUCUCCACUACACCAUUUUGUUGUGGAGUGUAGGGAGAAGAGAACUCAUGCUUGAUGCCCUCCUCCUCAAGAAAGCUUUCAAUUUGAGAGUUCUUGAACUCCGUCCCGUUGUCGCUUCUAAUCUUCUUGAUCUUUAAGCCGAACUCAUUUUGAGCUCGUCUCAGGAAUCCCUUUAAGGUCUCUUGGGUUUGAGAUUUUUCCUGUAAAAAGAAUACCCAAGUGAAGCGAGAAUAAUCAUCCACUAUUACAAGACAAUACUUACUCCCGUCGAUGCUUAUGUAAGCAAUCGGGCCGAAUAGAUCCAUGUGGAGUAGCUCAAGCGGCCUGUCAGUCGUCAUGAUGUUCUUGUGUGGAUGAUGGGCACCAACUUGCUUCCCUGCUUGGCAUGCGCUACAAAUCCUGUCUUUCUCAAAAUGAACAUUUGUUAGUCCUAAAAUGUGUUCUCCCUUUAGAAGCUUACGAAGAUUCUUCAUCCCAACAUGUGCUAGUCGGCGAUGCCAGAGCUAGCCCAUGUUAGUCUUAGCAAUUAAGCAGGUGUCGAGUUCAGCUCUAUCAAAAUCUACUGAGUAUAGCUGACCCUCUAACACACCCUUAAAUGCUAUUGAAUCAUCACUUCUUCUAAAGACAGUGACACCUACAUCAGUAAAGAGACUGUUGUAGCCCAUUUUGCAUAAUUGAGAUACAGAAAGCAAAUUGUAAUCUAAAGAAUCUACAAGAAAAACAUUGGAAAUAGAAUGGUCAGGAGAUAUAGCUAUUUUACCAAGACCUUUGACCAAACCUUGAUUUCCAUCCCCGAAUGUAAUAGCUCGUUGGGGAUCUUGGUUUUUCUCGUAAGAGGAGAACAUCUUCUUCUCCCCUGUCAUGUGGUUUGUGCACCCGCUAUCGAUGAUCCAACUUGAGCCCCCGGAUGCAUAAACCUACAAAACAAGUUUAGUUCUUGACUUUAGGUACCCAAACGGUUUUGGGUCCUUUGGCAUUAGAAACAAGAACUUUGGGUACCCAAACACAAGUCUUGGAGCCCUUGUGUUUGCCCCCAACAAACUUGGCAACUACUUUGCCGGAUUUGUUAGUCAAAACAUAAGAUGCAUCAAAAGUUUUAAAUGAAAUAUCAUGAUCAUUUGAUGCAAUAGGAGUUUUCUUAGGCAACUUAGCACGGGUUGGUUGCCUAUAACUAGAUGUCUCACCCUUAUACAUAAAAGCAUGAUUGGGGCCAGAGUGAGACUUCCUAGAGUGAAUUCUCCUAAUCCUGUCCUCGGGAUAACCGACAGGGUAUAAAAUGUAACCCUCGUUAUCCUGAGGCAUGGGAGCCUUGCCCUUAACAAAAUUAGAUAAUUUCUUAGGAGGGGCAUUAAGUUUGACAUUGUCUCCCUUUUGGAAGCCAAUGCCAUCCUUAAUGCCAGGGCGUCUCCCACUAUAAAGCAUACUACGAGCAAAUUUAAAUUUUUCAUUUUCUAAGUUAUGCUCGGCAAUUUUAGCAUCUAAUUUAGCUAUAUGAUCAUUUUGUUGUUUAAUUAAAGCCAUAUGAUCAUGUAUAGCAUCAAUGUUAACAUCUCUACAUCUAGUACAAAUAGAAGUGUGCUCAACGGUAGAUGUAGAGGGUUUGCAAGAUUUUAGUUCUACAACCUUAGCAUGCAAUAUUUCAUUUUUACUUCUGAGGUUGGAAAUAGUAGCAUUGCAAAUAUCAAAAUCUUUAACCUUAGCAAGCAAUUUUUCAUUUUCAUUUCUAAGGCUAGCAAGAGAAAUGUUCAAUUCUUCAAUCUUAGCAAGCAAAUCAUCAUUAACAUCUCUAGGAUUGGAAGUUGAAACAUUACAAACAUGAGAAUCAACCUUAGCUAACAAAUUAGCAUUUUCAUUUCUAAGGUUGUCUAUCGUCUCAUGGCAAGUGCUUAGCUCACUAGAUAAUUUUUCACAUUUCUCAAUUUCUAGAGCAUAAGCAUUUUUAACCUUAACAUGCUUUUUAUUUUCCUUGAUUAAGAAGUCCUCUUGGGAGUCCAAGAGAUCAUCCUUUUCAUGAAUGGCACUAAUCAAUUCAUUAAGUUUCUCUUUUUGUUGCAUGUUUAAGUUGGCAAAAAGAGUGCGCAAGUUAUCUUCCUCAUCACUAGCAUUUUCAUCACUAGAGGAUUCAUAUCUAGUGGAGGAUUUAGAUUUAACCUUCUUUUUGCCGUCCUUUGCCAUGAGGCACUUGUGGCCGACGUUGGGGAAGAGGAGUCCCUUGGUGACGGCGAUGUUGGCGGCGUCCUCGUCGUCGGAGGAGUCGAUGGAGCUCUCGUCGGAGUCCCACUCGCGGCACACGUGGGCAUCGUCGCCCCUAUUCUUGUGGUACCUCUUCUUUUCUCUCCUCUUGCCCUUCUUGUCGUUAUCCCUGUCACUGUCACUUGAUAAUGGACAUUUAGCAAUAAAGUGACCGGGCUUACCACAUUUGUAGCAAACCUUUUUGGAACGUGAUUUGUAAUCCUUCCCCUUCCGUUGCUUGAGGAUUUGGCGAAAGCUUUUGAUGAUCAAAGCCAUCUCCUCAUUGUCGAGCUUUGAAGCGUCGAUAGGUUGUCUACUUGGUGUAGACUCCUCCUUCUUCUCCUCCGUCGCCUUGAAAGCCACCAGUUGUGCUUCGGACGUGGAGGGAUCAUCAAGCUCGUUGAUCUUCUUUGAGCCCUUGAUCAUACAUUCAAAGCUCACAAAAUUCCCGAUAACUUCCUCGGGGGUCAUUGAUGUAUAUCUAGGAUUACCACGAAUUAAUUGAACUUGAGUGGGGUUAAGGAAGAUGAGUGAUCUAAGAAUAACCUUAACCACCUCGUGGUCAUCCCAUUUCUUGCUCCCGAGGUUGCGCACUUGGUUCACCAAGGUUUUGAGCCGGUUGUACAUAUCUUGUGGCUCCUCCCCUUGGUGAAGACGGAAGCGACCGAGCUCCCCCUCGAUCGUUUCCCGCUUGGUGAUUUUGGUGAGUUCAUCACCCUCGUGCGCGGUCUUGAGUAAGUCCCAAAUCUCCUUUGCAUUCUUCAACCCUUGCACUUUGUUGUAUUCCUCCUUGCUUAGAGAAGCGAGGAGUAUGGUUGUAGCUUGAGAGUUGAAGUGCUCGAUUUGGCCACUUCGUCCUCAUCAUAGUCUUCAUCCCCUACGGAUGGUACCUGUGCACCAAACUCAACAACAUCCCAUAUGCUUUUGUGGAGUGAGGUUAGAUGAAAUCGCAUUAAAUCACUCCACCUAGCGUAAUCUUCACCAUCAAAUGUUGGUGGUUUGCCUAAUGGGACGGAAAGCAAAGGUGUAUGUUUGGAAAUGUGAGGGUAGCGUAGGGGGAUCUUACUAUACUUCUUGCGCUCUUGGCGCUUAGAAGUGACGGAUGCCGCGUCAGAGCCAGAGGUGGAUGGUGAUGAAGAAUCGGUCUCGUAGUAGACCACUUUCCUCAUCCUCUUUUUCUUGUCCCCACUUCGACGCGUCUUGUGAGAAGUGGAUUUAUCCUUCUUCUCCUUUUGGUGUGAAGAAGACUUCUUCUCCUUCCCUUUGGAGGAGUUCUUCUUCUCCUUUCUCUUGGUGCGGGACUCUUCCGAUGAAGUGCUCCCAUGGCUUGUAGUGGGCUUUUCGCCGGUCUCCAUCUCCUUCUUGGCGUGAUCUCCCGACAUCACUUCGAGCGGUUAGGCUCUAAUGAAGCACCGGGCUCUGAUACCAAUUGAUAGUCGCCUAGAGGGGGGUGAAUAGGGCGAAACUGAAAUUUACAAAGUUAAUCACAACUACAAGCUGGGUUAGCGUUAGAAAUAUAAUUGAGUCCGCGAGAGAGGGUGGAAAACAAAUUGCAAGCAAAUAAGAAGUGUGACACGCGGAUUUGUUUUACCGAGGUUCGGUUCUUGCAAACCUACUCCCCGUUGAGGAGGCCACAAAGGUCGGGUCUUUUUCAACCCUUUCCCUCUCUCAAACGGUCCCUCGGACCGAGUGAGCUUUCUCUUCUCAAUCAAACGGGAACAAACUUCCCCGCAAGGACCACCACACAAUUGGUGUCUCUUGCCUUGGUUACAAUUGAGUUGUUCGCAAGAAGGAUUGAAAGAAAGCACGAUUGCAAAAGCCAAGCGACAAGAGCGACAAAUAACACACGGAUCACUUUCUCUCUCAAGUCACUAAUCACUAAUAAUCUCUUUUCUCAAUUGUGGAACUUGGAGAGAUGGAGACUUUGAAUGUGUCUUGGAAUGGAUUGCUAGCUCUUGUAUUGAAUGUUGAGGGUUGGAAUGCUUGGAUGAAGUGAAUGGAGGUGGUUGGGGUUGUAUUUAUAGCCACCAACCACUUCCUAGCCGUUGCUCCUUUUUGCUGAGCGCGGACGGUCCGCCCGCCUGGUCCGGACGGUCCGCCCCUGUAGAUCAACGGCUGAAAACGCAACGGUCAGCAGUAACGGCUAUAUCAACGGCUAUAUUGCAUUUAAUGCGUCGUCAGAUGUCAGAUAAAGCCAGUCGCGGACGGUCCGGUCGUGCACCCCGGACGGUCCGCGAGGCCGCUAUAAUUCGUUUUUCCGAACCCGUCACCUUCGGGUUUUUCGGUUUCUCACCUACCGGACGGUCCGCGCCAGAGGCCGGACGGUCCGCGCGAGGGCUCGGACGGUCCUUGCUUUUCCUCCGGACGGUCCGUAGUGCAGACUUGGAUUUUUGUAUUGGUUCUGUCCGAGAGUCAUCCUAGUGCUGCGGACGGUCCGCCGCAAGGGCCCGGACGGUCCGCGCUUGGUCUGUUUUUCCAAAAAGCUUCUCCUGUCCGGAAUAAUCUACGGUAUUCCGGACAGUCGAUUUAGUAUAGUUGUAGAUGAACCUUUGGCACCUGUGGAACAUAUAAUCUAGAGCAAACUAGUUAGUCCAAUUAUUUGUGUUGGGCAAUUCAACCACCAAAAUCAUUUAGGAACUAGGUGUACGCCUAAUUCCCUUUCAGUUACAUCUUUCUUUUCUAGCUAUGACCAUCAUGACUAGUCAACGUAUUCAAAAUGACUAUUGUUCAAGCACAUGUUCUUUUAUUAUUUUCAUAUGAUAAAUAGAAGUCAUCAUAUAUUAAUUAGACUAAUGCUUAAAGAUGUUUGAUGUUAAACAAACUCACUCCAAAAUCAGACAAAUGUUUUUUUUGUGGGGUAUCCAACGGAAACCAUAGAAUAUUAUUUUUACAAUAAAAAAGAGGGCAAAGUGUUUUUUGCUCGCAAUGAUGUCUUCUUAGAGAAAGAGUUUCUCUCUAAAGAAGUUAGUGGGAGAAAAAUGUAACUUGAAGAAAUUCGAGAAACGCCUGAAAAUGUUUCAGCACCCAGUGAACUCAUACAAGAUUGCACAAGAUGUGAGGCUUAUGUCAAACGUUUGAUGUCAGACAAACUCACUCAAAAAUCAGACAAAUGCUUUUUUGUGGGGUAUCCAAGGAAACCAAAGGAUAUUCUUUUUACAAUAAAAACGAGGGCAAAGUGUUUAUUGCUCGCAAUGGUGUCUUCUUAAAAAAAAGAGUUUCUCUCUAAAGGAGUUAGUGGGAGCAAAGUGCAACAUAAAUAAAUUCGAGAAACACCUAAAAAUGUUUUAGCACCCACUGAACUCGUACAAGAUGUAUAAGAUGUUGUGCAAUCUAUUGAUGAUGUACAAGAUAUUGUGCAAUCUAUUGAUGAAGCAUUAGCCCCACGUAGGUCUAUAAAGAAACACCAUGUAACCCAAAAGUUCACACUCCUAUCCAUGAAGCAUCGUGACAUAUUAUUGUUGGACAAUGAUGAGCUUGCAACCUACAAAGAAGCAAUGAUGGGAUCAACUCCGAUAAAUGGCUUGGAGCCAUGGAAUUUGAAAUACAAUCCAUGUAUGACAAUCAAGUUUGGAUCUUGAUUGACCCAAUAGAUGGUGUGAGACUUAUCGACUGCAAGUGGAUUUACAAGAAAAAGACAGACAUGGCUGGAAAUAUUCACAUCUUCAAAGCACGAUUGGUGGCCAAAGGAUUCAAGCAUCAUAAGUCCAUUUAUGGGUUGAAGCGGUCAUCUCGAAGUUGGAAUAUGUGUUUUGAUGAAGUGAUCAAAGGGUUUGGUUUCAUAAAAAAUCUAGAGGGGGCUACUAUUUAUAAGAAGAUUAAUGGGGGUGCAAUUGUAUUUUUGAUCAUGUAUGUAGAUGACAUAUUGUUGAUUGUGAAUUACAUAUCAAUGCUUGAGGAUGCUAAAUCUUCAUUAAGAAAGAGUUUAUCAAUGAAAGAUUUAGGAGAGGCAUCAUAUAUUUUGGGCACAAGCCAAGAUACAUAUAAUGACAAAGUAUUGAAUCGAUUCAAUAUCUAGGAUUCUAAGAAAGGAUUCUUGCCUAUAUCGUGUGGUGUUCAUCUUUGUGAGAGUCAGUGUUCGAUGACAAUUGAUGAGCAAGAAAGGAGGAAAGCAAUUCCUUACGCUUCAACUAUAGGAUCCAUCAUGUAUGGCAUGCUAUGUACAUGCCCAUAUGCCUCUUAUGUAGUAAGUGUUACCAGCAGGUAUCAAUCAAAUUGUGGAGAAAUCCAUUGGGCAGCUAUGAAGAACAUCGUUAAGUACUUAAGAAGAACUAAGGAUGUGUUCUUAGUGUUUGGUGUUGAGGAAGAGCUUGUUGUAACUGGUUACACUAAUGCUAGCUUCUAGACAGACAUAGAUGAUUAUAUAUCGCAAUCUGGUUUUGUUUUCUAUCUCAAUGGUGGGGUAUUGAGUUGGAAGAUUUCCAAACAAGAUACAAUAGCAGAUUUGAUGGUGGAAGAUGAGUAUAUUGUGACUUCAGAAGCUGCAAAAGAGGUUGUUUGGAUCAGAAAUUUUGUUUGAGUUAGGUAUUAUUCCUAGUGUGUCUAGUCCAGUGGACCUCUAUUGUGAUAAUAGUGGAGCCAUUGCACAGGAAAAUGAGCCUAGAUCACACCAAAAGACCAAACUAAUACCACGGUGCUAUCACCUCAUUCGUGAGAUCAUAGAACGAGGUGAUGUGAAGAUUUGCAAGGUGCACAUGGAUUCAAAUGUUGCAGAUCCAUCGACGAAACCUCUUUCACAAGCAAAACAUGAGGCACACAUAAUAUCUAUGGGUAUACGAUGCUUACAUCACAGAUUCUAGUGUGAAUGUGUGAGAGACCUAUGGCAUGACUAUAUUUCUGUACUUGUCGAGUACCGUAAUUAAGGGUACCCCCAACACUCCUAAACACGGCUGGUAACCACCAUCAGCACAAGCUGCAGAGACUGAUGGGCACAAUUCAGGUCAAGGCUUUGUCUACUCAAGGGACGCGAUCUCGCCUCGCCCGAGCCCAGCCUCGGGCGGGAACAGUAGUCCCAGGCGAAUUCACGCCUCGCCCGAGGGCCUCCUCAAGCAACGGGCGCACCCUCGACUCGCCCGAAGCCCAGCUCGGGCAGGCUUCGUUGUGAAGCAACCUUGGCCAAAUUGCCUCACCAACCGACCGUAUCGCAGGCGCAUUCAAUGUGAGGAUCGCUUGACGCCUUAUCCUGACACACGUGCCUCAGUCGGCAAGGUCGAAGUGACCGCAGUCACUUCGCCCUUCCACUGACCGACCUGACAGGAAAACAGCGCCGCUCGCCCCACUCCGACUGCUGUGCCACCCGCCAGAGUGAGGCCGGCAACAGCCAAGUUCAGCCUUAGGCGCAACAGGAAGCUCCGCCUCGCCCGACCUUGGGCCUCGGCCUCAGGAGGAGGUCUCCGCCUCGCCCGACCCCAGGGCUCGGCCCCCGCCUCGGCCUCGGAAGGUGGUCUCCGCCUCGCCCGACCCCAGGGCUCGGCCUCAGCCUCGUCCUCGGAGGGUGGUCUCCGCCUCGCCUGACCCCAGGGCUCGGCCUCAACCUCGACCUCGGGAGGAAUCGCGUCCUCGCCCGACCUCGGCCUCAGGAGGAGUCUCCGCCUCGCCCGACCUUGGGCUCGGACCGACCACGCCACAGGGGAUACAUCAUUACCCUACCCCUAGCUAGCUCAGGCUACGAGGGAACAAGACCAGUUGUCCCUUUUUUCCUAUGGGUUGUUUCGUGGUUCUCUUUUUGCUCUACCAGCUCUCCCUCGACGUCGAGGUCGACCCCUCCUUUUAUAGACCAAGUAGGGGGUUUACAGAUGGCUUCUCACCAGAAGGGAGUGUAACAUAAACACAGUAUCCACCCAUAAAAAUUGGUCGUGUGUUGAUUCCCUUGCCUGUGUGGGUUCUCUGUCGUAUCUCUAAUAUUGUCGGUGGUGGAUAUGAUUCAUGUUGGCGAGGGAAGCUCGAGUGUCAUCAUUAGUGAUUUUGUCCUCUUCUUUUGGCGUCGCGGACUGAGACCUAGGACCUGUAGGUCAUGAGUGAGACUCUGGCCCAAAUCUCGUAGGUUGAGUGGGACUCUGGCCUAGAACCCAUAGAUCAUAAGUGGACGGAGGCCUGACACUAUUCACGUUGCGUCUACCAACUAUCGUAAUUAAUACGGCAUACUCGGCUCGAUGCAGGGCAGAGGGGGUGUCCUGUGGACGUGGUGGAGUCGCUCGUGAUGGAUUGGACCCAUAACAUACUAACCCUGGUUCUUAUCCGUCUACCCGAAGAUCUCAGCCCCAGCCUGAUCCAAAUCAGUUUAAUAUAUUAAUAUAAAUUAAUUUUAUACACGUUACAAACAUAAAUAACAUAUUAAAUAGAGGUUAUACGGAUGUACUAGCGUGCUUGUUUGUUUUAGGUUAUUGCUAGCUUCUAUCAGCCAAAAGUUGAAACAAAUAACUGUUGAGCCACCUUUUAAAAAGCUAGAAAGCUAAUUUAUAAGAAAAUAAACUAAAAGAGUGUUAGGAGGUUUUAUGAUUUUUGUGUGCUGAAAGGCUAAAAGAUGUUACAAAAGACAUUUUGACAAAAAAAAAAAGAGUUACUGUUCACAAGUACCAACUAAAAGACAAGGGCUAGAAAACCAGUUUUUGAGUCAAAAUGUAAAAAACUCUUAGGAGGAAUAUCUUUUCAUAGAAAUGGACAGCCAAAAAAGUUUGACCUAGGACGAAUGAAGAUGAACUUAUAUUUGAUUUAAGUAGCUAGCAAUUAUUUCUAGACAGUGUGAAUUCACCAAAAAAAAAGAUUAUUCCAGCAGCUGGUGGGAACACUUAGGCCCUGUUUGGGAACACAGUUUUUCCAAACUGCAAUUUUUUGGGAACACAGUUAUGACAUUACUACAGUUUACAAUGCUUCAGUUUUCGAAUACAACAGUAUCUAAUACAUCAAGGUGUUUGAGAAAAACUUUGGUUGAGACCAAUCAGCCAGAGCGGGACCAAGCUGGCGCUCUCUUUACAUAGAAAAACUUUGGUUGAUACCAAAGUUUCCAAAACUACAAAACAAGUGCAGUAUUUACAAUACUACAGUUUAGUAUACAGAUAUUUCAGAUGAUGUUUCCAAACAACUCAAAGUAUAUAAUACAACAGUAUUACUCAAUACUACAGUGUUGCUUUCAAUAGUGCAGAAAAACUUUGUUAUCAAACAUCCCCUAGAUGCGAAUCUGAUAUGAUUAGUCUCGAUCGAUAAGGCCAGGCUAAACAAGAGAGCCUUUUCCCGGGAUGCUUCCUCCGGCACCGUCAUCCUAGCUUGGACGUCGAUAUGAUGUGGGGGCAGCUCCGCUGUUCGACCAAGAGCUAGGCUUCGACCACAGCGGGGCUCUCAAGUCUGAACCUGCGUCAGAGUCGUAGCUUUCGUCUAACAAGAACUCAAGUUCUGUUUGGAGUGAUCGGAAGAGGAUCCGUUGACAUUAAUUCCGACAAACUAUUAGCUCCGCGAAGUGGAUCGACUUAGCGAAGAACUGCUCAGUCUGCUCUUUGCACAGGUAGCUAGUUUGUGAGUGUUCCAACUCAGGAAUGGCUUUAUCUUGGAAGCGUGAGCGAAUGAGAAAGUAUCGGGCUUAUCAUAACAGCUGUGACCGGUUUCAUGUCUUUGGCUUUGUUUAUUUAUAAGACUGGCGAUUAACAUCUAAAACUCCAUCAGAGAAAAAAAAAGUUUCCGUCCUUCUGUCAACUCUCACAGAAACCUUGUUUUACGUGUGGAGUGAUGGUCGGCGUUUGUGUCUCCAUCAGAUGGCACAGACACCACGAUGUUUCUUUUUUUCUUUUUUCCAUUCGUUCAGAGGUAGCCAUCAUAGACUGAACAAAACCUUCCGGCCUUCCGAGCCAAAUCCGGAUUCCCAGUAACAGCAAAGCCUGACCGGGAUCAAUGGCUCGUCAUUCUCGGCAAGAUUGGCAGCCAAUAUCGGUUCCCAUCUUACCAGCGUAGCAAGCUCGUACAUAUAACCUCUAGCGAUUUGAGACUGCCACAGUUUGCGGCCUCAGACUAAAAGACAGCACAGGAGGCAAUCGUCAACGGUAUAUAAAUAGAGCAUCUAAUGAGUUGUGCAAAGACAGUUGUUCGAACUACUGCAGCUAUGAUACAUAGAAAUGAAACAGAAGCAAUAGAAACCGAUAAGGAUUAAAGCCAAACGAAAAUGCUGUAAAUGCCAAAGUCAAAAGGCAUCCCUCGAUGUUUUGGUGAGUUUGAGCAACGUGCUUGCAAACAUAAAUUAUUGAAUGUCCAUUCUCAGAACUACAUAUAACCAAAAUUGGACACAGGUGGCCAGUGUUUAGUUGUCAGCCACUUCAAUGAGGGUUUGCUCGUAGUCAGCAGGAGCCUCAAAUCCGUGGAGGUUCAUCACGGUUGCGGCUACGUUGGCGAGCCCAGGGGUUUGGAUGUCGUUCCGGAAUUUCACUCCAGGGUGAAGGCCAGGGCCUCCAAUGGCAACCGGGACCUGCAAGUUUUACAGAGGCAUUAGCAUCCAAGCAAUCAACACGGGUAUGAUUUUGCUGGGAGAGAACCAAAAGACAUGGGGUCAAAUGGCAUUGCACUCACCGGCUGAAGGGUAUGCGAGGUAAGAAUCUGGAUACGGUCAUUCUUGUCGAGCAACGGCUUGCCAGACUUGUUCCUUUUCACCAUAUCCUCAGCAUUGCCAUGAUCGGCGGUAACAAGGUAAAUACCACCAACUUGCUCGACAGCAUCCAAAAUAAUCUGUUCAGAAGAACACUUGGUUAAAAAAUAGGCAAAGGCCUAUGAAGCGUGCUACUGUAAGAACCUUUAUUGAUGUAUAAGCGAACUUCCAAUGCAGAUAAUAAGACAACACACAUGUCAGCGAACUUUCAUUGGUGCUCUCACCUUAACAGCUUCAUCAGCUGCCUUGCAAGCAACUACGGUGGCCUCAAUAUCACCAGUGUGACCAACCAUGUCACCAUUUGGCAGGUUGACACGUACCUGUAACAACGCUAGGCUAAGCAACAGGGAAACCGAAAGAGUGCUCUAAUAGAAACUUCAAAUUAUUUACCUGGUCAAACUUUCCACUUAGGAGAGCAUCCCUGGCUUUCUCAGCAAUUUCAAGCGCCUUCAUAUUGGGUGCAACAUUGAAUGUAAUACCACUGUCACUAGGUACUUCUACAUACUCCUCCUUAGUUGCAUCAAAGUAUCCCGAACGGUUACCGUUCCAGAAAAAUGUGACAUGGCCAAAUUUAACUGUCUCACUGUCACACACAAAACAAUGUUGCUGCAUAAGUAGAGAGAGAGAGAGAGAGAAGGGAAAAUGUAGAUCAUGUUGCAAGCACAAGGAUGAUACAACAAUGAAUCAAUCCAAAAAUAACAUUAUGCAGCCCUAAUAUACAGUAUUAGGGCACAAAUCAUGGGCAGAGCAAUGCAACCAAAUAUCAGCCUAAGUUAGCACAAUGUCAGCAUACUGCACUGCAGCUAGAAGAUUACCCUAGAAAAAAGAACUCUUCUCUACAGAUGUCAAAUAUACUAGUACGGAUGCAGUAUAAGGUAAUAGAGAUAAGUCACAACAGAAUUCGAAAGCAUUUGGAUUCCUUUUCACUAAAGAAAAAUGUUCUUAAAACAUUUUCCUUUAGUGAGAUUGAAUAUUUAUAUGCAAAAUGUAAUGCCUUAAAAACACAUAUUUUCCUGUAUUUCAAUUUUCAAAAUUAUUUAAAAUAUCAAUUAACUGAGUGAAUCUUGAAUUCCUGAUGUUCUGUGAAGUGAAAAAUGAUAUCUUUCCAGAAGGUCAGUGCUCCUCACAGGUAUGUACAAGAUUGUACGAAGUACACUUGAUAAUGUUGAUUCAAAAUAAAUGGAGCAUGCUGACUUAGAUGACUCAGAAAAACUAAGUGAUUUUACGAUAUUGAAGUAAAUAAAAAAGUAUCAAGAGAAAGGCUGAGAAAUAGAUAGUACUUGCCUGCAAGCAAAGGUGCGGAUGCCAUUCUUCACCAAGUACUCCCCAGAUGUUCUAUCUAUCUCUGGUGGGGAAACAAGGUAACGGCUUGGAAGCUUCAACUCACCAUCAUACUGAAGCAUCCCAGCAUAUCGGAUUUUGGGGACACGAACACGGUCAAAGUUGUCAAAAUCUGCAUACUCUAGUGCUUUCGCAAGCAUAACCAUGCGAUCAGCUCGGAAGUUGAUAGUGACAACUGCAUCACCAUCUAAUACAGGCCCAACAGCAUUGCCACUGUCAUCAACUAUCACAAAUGGGGGCAAGUACUGAUCAUUGGCUUUGGGCUGUGCUCUCAGUGUUUUCACAGCCUCAAGUGCACUUUUGAAUUUGUAGGGUGCUUCUCCAAGCACUUGGGCAUCCCAACCACGUUUAACCACAUCCCAGUCAUUCUGGAAGAUAUUAAACAAAAUAAAACUGUAAGCCAAGGUGCCAGACAGUGAACACUGAUGCUUGAACGGGAAAAAGUGUUCACCUCAUAACGGUCCAUCGUAACAUACAUCCUUCCACCACCAGAUGCAAUUUGUGCAUCAACACCCUUCGCUCUAAGCUCCAAAAGAUCAUUCUCUAGGGUCUCCACGAAACCAAUACUGCUUCCAUCCAAAACAUCACGUCCAUCAGUAAGGAUGUGCACACGGAUUUUUUUCGCCCCUCUCUCACUGACACCUUUCAGAAGUAACUGGAUAGAGCCCCAAAAAAAUUAUAGUAAAUCUUGUGGCAGUAACUGAACCAGGCUAAAUUGAAGAAAGAAUAUUAGCAAACCUGCAGUUGAUCAAGACGGGAGUGGACACCACCAUCACUCAACAACCCAAUAAGGUGAAGAGUACCACUUUCAAAAGAUUCUUUGAUGUAGUUGAACCCAUCUCCAUCAUAAAUCUUUCCGGAGGCAAGAGCUUGAUCGACAAGCUUAGCACUAUAGUUAGAAAGAAUGCAGCACUCAGAUCAGAGAACAUCUAGUAUGAACUCUUAAGAACUAAAGGUAUUAUUUAAGACUAACAUGACAGACAAAAUAGCACACUAAGAUAAAGUUCUUGAUUGCAUAUGAAUUCAAAUGUUGAGCCAAAAACUACACUGCAGUAGUGAGAAACAAAUCAGCAUAUGCAACGUGUCCUAGUUAACAGCAUUUGCACAAAGCAAUAAAAUUAAUAAAAUCAUUGACGUGUCAAUGAAACUAGUAACUGAUGACAAUAAGAAUGCACAGUUAGUCUAUAUUCUUGUCAUGAAGCAAACUUUGUACUGUUUCAAGCUUCAAAGUUUUUGAAUCUUAUAUGGACAAAAUUAUGUGUUAUAUUUGUUAGCAGCUGCAUGCCUACAUCACGUGGAGGCUUGGCCUGUAUAGAAAAAAUAUAGCUGUGGGCAUCAUGUUCAAAUGCAAUAUUGAAACCACAUCAGUACAUCACAUUGUUACAACAGAAAACAUAUUUCCAAAAAACAAAAUAAACAUCUAACAUACCCUUGGGCGAAAAUUCGACCAGCACCAAGUGCAUUGUGACCAACUUCACUGUUGCCCAUGUCAUCAUCAGAUGGGAGGCCCACAGCUGUUCCAUGAGCCUUCACUAGUCUCCAUUUCUCAGGAGCGCCCUAAUAUACAUAUUUCACUGAAGGGUAAGUAAAAGCAUAUAGACAGUAUACCUGCAAAACAAAUUAUGCUGACAGAACAAUCUUUCUUACAAGAGAAAGAAGCAGGGAUUACGUGCAACACCUUGUUAUUUUUCAUUAACACCAAUUAUGAGACAACAGUCUAACAAGCAAUCGAACGGAUACACUUCCAAAGCAUUAAUAACCUAAGGGCGUAGCCAUUUUCAGACGGUCCUACCUAGAUGAUUUUUUUUGUGCAUAAUAUUUGUGCGAUAGUAACUCAGCAUUCACAGCUUGGCCCAGAGCCCCAAUGCAUAACAAUGAGUAUUGGAAUGUAAAAGGCAUUUAAACUUAAUCUGUAGAACUUAACCUUAAUCGAGAUUAUGUUAAAAAAAUCUAAAAAAACCAUUACAUACCAGUAUUAAUUCAAAUUAGAUCCCUCGUCAUAUAAUCGGAGCUAAGAAUUAGGCUCCCGAUAAUAAUAUGGCCAGUGCAUACUUAGAAACAAUCAGAACUAAGAUAUCAAAUACAAAAAAAAAAAAAACUCAUCUACACAAUCCCACAAUGACUGCAAUUGAGAGUUAAGCAGAAGAAAGGGUGUAAACGAAAGCAUACACACAUUCUUUAGCGAGUCCAUGACAGGAGUCUGAGCGACAUGGAUGCAGUUGUACUGGUCGGGGUUGGCCUCGCCCCAUCCGUCCAGCACGACGACAGCCACCGGUUUCCCCUUGGGGAGCUUGGGGUGGUCCGGAAGCGUCCACGAGAACCCUGAGCUCCCCAUCGGCAACAAGACCUACCAAACAUCACACGGCAGUCGGCAACGUGUUAGACAAGCAGCAAAUCGCAGCAUAACCAAAGAGAUCCGCCGUCUGCGCCCGGUUCCGGAAUCCGCCACACGGCGUCGCUAUAGUCUACUAGAUCUGAUCAUCUGAGCACCUAAUGUAAUAAAAUACCCUAAUCGGUUAAUUCGCAUGGUCGAUUGAGACUGGACGACCGCCCAAAAUCGGUUCAGACCGGAUCUCGUGUUACAGAUACGAGAACAGGAGGUGGUCGAUCUGACGAACGAACGGGGGCGCAAGCAAAGCAUAUAGAGAAAUGGAAAGACAAUGCGAACGAGGGAGGGACCUGAGACUGUUCUUACCUUUCUCUUUUUGCUUCUGCUUUUGCCUUGCCUAACAAGAAGAACUCUUGGCGAGCGAGCAAUGGGGCGAUAUAGAACAGAUGGAGGUGCGAGGCCGCGGCGAUAUUAAUAAAGGAGCGGAGACGGGGGCGCCCGGGGGUCGUGAAUUACUUUACUGCAUUUUAACGAUUGUGUUUCGACUAAACUCAGGCGAUUUAUUAACAGGUGGACGGCAGGAUCGGUGCUGCGAGGGACGGGAAAGGUCGCAUCGCACAAAAGAUGAGAUGUUUUAUUUUAAUAGUUUAUAUAUAAGGGAAGGAAAAUACGGGCUUUGCUUCGAGUGAGGCAAGGCAACGAGGAAUGUCGCCGCCGGGUUUGUGGAUCCAGACGGCGGAGAUCCGCUCCGCCGGUUUCAUAUUCUGCACCUGGUAUUGGACGGUCACGAUGGUGGCGGCUAUUGCAGCGCCCAGGUAAUCAGCGCUGCUUUUGGAACGGAACAGUAGGUCACCUCACGGUGGUCCCGCGACGGAUUUGGAUCUUUUCACGUCAGCUUUGGACUUUCGGCAUCAGAGAGGCGGCCGCGUGCGUGAAAGCGUCAGACCCAGCCACCCGGGUCGCCGUCGGAUAUUGCCAUAUAUUGGCUUGCAUAUAGAGUACGUGCAUUCGAGCUUUUACACCGUAUAUACACAGGUGUGUAGACUGUAGAGUACGUGCCUAAUCCUAUCUCCACCGUAUAUAUCUUAUCUACUCUUCUAUACUCUAAAAGUACUACUAUCUUAGGAGAUGUGCUGCAGCACAUGUGUCUCGUCUCAUCUUUUAUAUAUCUAAUACUCCCUACGUAUAAGCUAGAAUAAUACCUCUAACAAUUAAUAAAAUGAAGUUUGAUUUCUAUAUAUAGGUUCGUUGAGAGGCAAAAUUUCUCUCUAUUUAUUAUACAUCAUUUUCUCGUGUGAUAUGUACGUGACAGAGGCUGUUAAAAUGGAUUUUUUUUUUGGGUGUGGUCUCAGUUUGAACACAAGGACACACAGGGCUCACUGCCUCACGCUCACGCAGCUUGGCUCACACAGUAAUACGACGGACGGUGUCUCUUUGUUGAUGUGGACGACUGUGGAGUCAUGCAGAUGCUCGUCGCCCGGGCAGCCCUGUGUCCGUGCGCGGGGAAGCAAGUUGCUUGCUGUGGCUGUAUGCGAUGCCGAUGGUGACGGGCCGCGGCGCGCGCGGGGCGCCGUAGGGGCUGCCGGGCUGGUCUCAGCGUAGCCAGUAGUGAACGCGAUGCUAACUCGUCGCCUCGUCCGAUCGUGCGCGCAGCUGCUCCUAAAACCGCCGGAUGAACUCGCCCGCCCGCCUGUCCACCUGGGCGCCGUCCGUCGGUGGUCCGGCGGUGCACGCCGGCUGCUGCCGGUGGCAGCCAGGCGCAUGCAGCAGCUACCGAAUUUUUUGUAUUUUAGCCCCUAAACCGAAGUAAAUUUACGUUUAGACCUAAAAAAAUUUUAAAUGCAGUUUUGGACCCUUUGCUCGGCGCCAUAGGCCGUGGCGCCGAGCUAACACAGCUCGGCGCCACAGCCUAUGGCGCCGAGCUCUGACGUGGCCGCAACGGCUAGUUGCGUCCAGGGCUUACCUGGCUCCGACGUGGCGGCGGCGCGGCCUCGUAGCUCGGCGCCACAGAUCUUGGCGCCGAGCUACGAAUGCCUAUAAAAACGCUCGCGCGGCUGGCCGAGAGCAGCUCAUUUCAUCCCAUUUCCAAACUUCGUCAAAAAUUGCUGGAUUCAAAGAUUUGAGUUGGUUCACUUCGUAGGCCAAGGUAUGAUUUCGAACUGAUUCGUUUUGUAUAUUGGGUUGUUAGUUAAAUAAUUUGUAUACACCUAUUAUAUUAUUAUUUCGAAUAUUAGUUUGUGUAGACUUAUUAUAAAGCAUAAUAGGUACAAGUGAUAAUUAUAAUCGUUUAUUAGAUGAAAGACAUGUACCGAGAGGCGUUGUGGCAGAAGAGAGGUCGUCCUCGGGAGUUAUAUCCGGGCGUAUCUAGUAAGGAUGCUCCUGUUCCUCCUGAACUCCCCGUGCCUAACUGUGACUGUGGCAGACUGGCUUGGGUACAUCAAUCACAACAUCCAGACACGGCUGCUCGCUGCUACUACCUUUGUGGCACUUUGGACGUACGUAGCUUAUGACUUGUCACUUAACUUUGUUCGCAUUCAUUUUUUUGUAGAUAUGUAAUAGUGCAUCUUUCCAUUAUUUUAGGGACAUCAGAAGUGUUUCUUUUUCCAGUGGAUCGAUGGUCCUGAUAAAUUUGACCCUCGAUAUCUUCUUUUCGUUAAUUGGUUGAGUGGAAAGACCAGUCAUGAGCGUUUUAAGCGUUGGGUACCUCUUCCCCCGAAUCCUCCACCAAUGACGGAUGCAGAGAAGGAGGUAGCAACAGAAAGACGGAUGGACUCACCGCCUCGAUGCGAUUGUGGAGACCGUGCUGUCAUCGACGAAGACUAUGACAAGCAGUUCUGUUGUCCGAACAUUGAUUAUGUGAGCCCAUUGAUACGCUAAAUAUAUGAACUAGUUUUUAUUUACAAUAAAUUACUAAUUUUUUCUCCUGCAGCCAUACGGGUGGCGUAAGUGUCGUUUCAGAGAGUGGUUGUAUGGUCCUUUGUCCCAUUGGCCAGAGCCAGAGGUAAAGGAAAAGAGAUACAUGGGGUGGGCGGCAGAAGAGGUCAAAUUUGAUCCAGUACUCUGCAAAUGCGGUAUUGAAGCUAAGUAUGGAUUAGUUCCUUCGGAGCUUGGUGUUGGAUAUUUUUGUGGACAUAUGGUCGAUUACGAUGAGGUUGGUAUUUUUUUUUGCACCAGAUGUAAUGUUAUAGCGGUACUUACUAUUUUUUUGUAGGAGACGAGGAAAUGCAGUUGGGAGAGUUACGACGACAAAGGAGAGGUGAUGCGGACAAUAGAGUCCAAGAGAAUAAUGGGACAGAAGAUGCGUUGUGGAUCUUGAAAGUCGCCUAGAGGGGGGGUGAAUAGGGCGAAACUGAAAUUUACAAAUAUAAACACAACUACAAGCCGGGUUAGCGUUAGUAAUAAAGAAACGAGUCCGCGAGAGAGGGCGUAAAACAAAUCCCAAGCGAAUAAGCAAGUGAGACACGAAGAUUUGUUUUACCGAGGUUCGGUUCUUACAAACCUACUCCCCGUUGAGGAGGCCACAAAGGCCGGGUCUCUUUCAACCCUUCCCUCUCUCAAACGAUCCACGGAUCGAGUGAGCUUUCUUUUCUCAAUCACUUGGAACACAAAGUUCCCACAAGGACCACCACAAGUUUGGUGUCUCUUGCCUUGAUUACAAGUGAGUUUGAUCGCAAUGAAGGAAUCAAGAAAGCAUGAUUUGAAAAAGCCAAGCGACAAGAGCGACAAACAACACACGGAUCCCUUUCUCUCUCAAGCCACUAAUCACUAAUGAUCUCUUUUCUCAAUUGUGAAACUUGGAGAGAUGGAGGCUUUGAAUGUGUCUUGGAAUGGAUUGCUAGCUCUUGUCUCAAGUAAAUGGCUAGCUAGUAUACUAAAUACUAAACUAAAUAAAUACUAACUAAAUGCUAAACACUAAUGUAACCACUAACCCUAAACACUAAACCCUAAAAUGCUAAAAGCUAAAUACUAACUAACCACUAACGAACAACUAAACACUAAAUAACUAGGUAAUACCAACUAAAUACAAAAAUAUUAAGUAAUAAUUAUAAAAAAUUAUUACCUUGUGAGCUGGAAGGCCGGAGGGAGAGCGGAAGGCGGAGGAGAGCAGGCGGCGGCCGGAGUCGAGCGAGCUCGGCGGCGAGCUCGGCGGGAGAGGCGGGCGCCGGUCGAGCGGCGACCUCGGCGGCGAGCUCGGCGGGCUGCGGGCGGGCGGCGCGCUCGGCGGGCGGCUAGCUCGGCGGCGGCGGGCUGGCGGCGGCGAGCGGCGAACUCGGCCGUAGGAAAAUGAAGCCGCGAGCGAAACAGAGAAGAAACGAAGAGGAAAGGCGUUUCGGUUAAGUUCCCUAGCUCGACGCCAAGAUCUGUGGCGCCGAGCUAGGUGUGCCACGCGGGCUGCCACGUCACGAAGCUCGGCGCCAUAGGCUAUGGCGCCGAGCUGUGUUAGCUCGGCGCCACGGCCUAUGGCGCCGAGCAAAGGGUCCAAAACUGCAUUUAAAAUUUUUUUAGGUCUAAACGUAAUUUUACUUCGAUUUAGGGGCUAAAAUACAAAAAAUUCGGCAGCAACUACACCUGUGGUAGGGACAGCGUCGUGGGGGCGCACAGCACCGCGCUCGGCGUCGGAGUCACCGCUGCUGUCGUCAUCGUUGAUCAUCUCAAACCCGUGCCACAUGGGCCGCGCAGGUCAUAGAUUGUAGACUUGUAGUACUGCAGGUAUGGCUGCAGCUGGUAUUGAGCAUCUCGCGCUUGCAGCUAGUCGGCGCCGAGGAGGCCGGCGAGCCCCCGGGUAUCUGAAAAAUGAUUCCAAAAUCCAGUCUCAGGUCCGUGAGUCGUGACCGGUCGGCAGAAUUUUUUUCCCAGUCGCUCGGCCGCCAACCGUGCGACGGUCAAUCUCGACGGGCUGGCACAGGAGUUCCGAAGACCGGGGCUGCAUAAACGUUCAUGUUGGGCUCGUCUCUGGGGUGACGCAUACGAGACGGUGGGGGCGGAGACAGGCCACCAUGCUGUUGGUCAGCGAGCGGUGGGGCCGUGGUCGUUUAUUCUCGACGCUUCCAGCUAGGAAGACUUUCUGUUAAAAAAAAAGAAUCAAAGUGAGCUGCGUAUACUCCUGCAAUUCUCUAAGCUUUUGGGCCUUCGGCUUCGGCCUGGCUUGUUAAGGCUUUCUGGGCAUACAUGAUUACUUGGGCUUCUCUGGAACUGGAAGAGCAGUUUGUUGGGCCCACUGUCGAGGUGUUCUGAAAUGCAAUAACCCCCGACAACCCGUAUCCGCUACUAAACCCGCAUACAAGUGUUAGAACUUACAAGAGUGUCUUAGAUUUUUUUAUCUGACUUCAGCGAAUAUUUUUAAAAUUAGAUGUCAUUACAGUUUUAAUACUGCAUCCGUUCCAGAAUAGUAUUCGUUUUAGCUCUUGGUUUUUACGUCUAUAUUAAAAUGCACCAUAUAUGAAUCUAUUAAUUACUUAAAACGAGCUUUAACUUGGGAUGGAGAGAACAAUGUCCUUAUCGAUAACGAAGCCACGCAAUGUUUCCGUUAAUUACGAGAAAUUUUACCAAUCCAGAAUUCCAGACUUUGAAUAUUAAUUGUUGGUAGGGGUUAAGUUUAUGAGCGUAUGCCUAUAGAGAUGAAUAUGUGUGCAUCGUAAGCCGCAUCUCCCCUAGAGAAAGUAUAAUAGAUCUCUAUUCAUCAGGUUGUAAGACAGUUUAUAUCAUAAAAAAUCUCCCGUGAAGGAAAUACAGUUUAUAUCAUAAAAAAAUCUACCUGGUGCAAGCAGCAAGCUUAGCUACUACGACCACCAAACAAAAGGAUACUGCAUGGGACAAGAUCUAACCUGGCUUAUUUCGUAGCCCAAGCUUGGGGUGGAGACGUGAACCAAAUAGACCCCAUAUAUCAUGCCCUAGUGCCCUAGAUAUAUAGUCUAUCCAAAUCUAUGUAAAUCUGACGAACACUUUGCUUGCUCAAGCUAAAACUAACCUGCCCCCACAGACACUGUGCUGAAGAUUCGUUACACACACUACACAUGUAAACGCAAGAAGCCGAUCGACGAUCAGAUAUAUAGGAUUCGUAUCUGUGUAUCUUUCGGCGCUCGGCUGUGUCAGGUAGCCUGGACCGACCUGAUCGGUCACCAGGUAUCUGGAAAGCAGCGAGACACCAACCUGCCUACUACUACCUCUAGCUAGCAGCAAUGAAGUCUGAACUCCCACCGGAAAGUGCAGGCCCGCACCGCAGGCAGGACCAGGUGUGCGAGUCCGACGUCUCUCCAGUCCAGGUCCAGGAUGGCAGGGUCCCGGGCGAGACACGGAAACGAGUCGGUUGUCCUCUCUGGCCAGCCCACAUGCACAAGCGAACAAAACCGGUGCUCCCUCCCUGCGUGAGAUUCGCCAUAUCCGUGUUUAUUUAGGGCCUGUUUGGCGGAGCUCCGGCUCCUCUAGAUAUAGCUCCGGCUCCUCUAGAUAUAGCUCCGGCUCUAACUUCUCCAGCGGAGCCGCUCUACCAGGUGAGCCGCUGUUUUUUUUUCAAACCGUUUGGUAAAGGACUCUGGCUUCGGCUGCUCCAACGCCGGCAGCGAUAUGGACUUAGAGUUCGCCUGUGUGACCUUCGUCGCUCGCUCCCACAGCAAUAGCAAGGAGAAGUUGGUCUUCCUGCAACCCUGCUCCAGCCCCAAUCCCGUCACGUUGUUGAAGCCGUUCAGCUACAAGGAGGCGUCCGUUCAGAAGCAGGACAAGAAGGAAAGGGAGGCCUGGGCACGUGAGACGAAGCCCCCGAUGCUCCAAGGACAAGGGGCCAAGGACGGUCCAAGCAGGCCAAAGACGGGGGAAGCAGACCAAGGAUGGGUCGUGUGUCGCGCCGAGGCGACGGCCAGGCCGACGUGGGGUUGCAUCGGCGCCAAACGUUACCUCAAGGAGUUGCAUCGGCACCAAACGGGCGAGAGUCCAUGGCGGCGGCGAACCAGCUGCGCGUGGGAGAGGAACGGCGGUGGGCUGCGCGUGAGAGAGGGCUGCGCGAGGGAGCAGUUUGGAGCCAGAAAUUUGGGCUCCGGCUCCGUGGGCUGUUUUGGCUCCUGCUCUAUGAUGAGAGCCGUUUCAUCAAGAUGCGUUUGGGAGAGCUCCGGGCUGGAGCCGUAGCCGCGGGAGAGCCCUCCUAAACUGGGGCUUAAUUUACGGCCAGACUCAGGAAGCUGUCAGUGUUGCUUUUGGUUUCCACAACCUGACGUGCCCAAAAAUAGCACUCGAGUCGAGUGGAUCGGGACGCACACAAAGGACAAUAUUUCUUUCACCUCCAGAAAUCGGGUAGCAGUACAUAAAAAAAAAGAUCUGUUUUUUUUUUUGUGCUUUGUUUCUCAAGGUAUUUACAUCGCCUUCCCUCUUUACCAAGAUUAUGACGCUUUGGUUAUCAAAGAGAAUAAAAAAUCAUCAGAAAUUUUGAAGGCAGGCAAGCAAGCAAGCAAGCACACAAUAACAGAAAUGGCUCCGAUGCCCACGACGCCAGGCAGAUUGAAGAAUCAUCAUCAUAUGCAUAUCCAGUGAUAACUCACAACCCCAAGUCCAGGGGCAAAACUCUAUCUAGUCUAGAUUAUAUUGAACUGAACAAAGAACAUGUACAUGAAUCUACAUCGUGGACCAGCUCCUGAGGAGCGACGGCCUCCCCCCAAACAGCUGGUCCAGCGCCACCACCACGGCCAUGGCGAGCGACACGUCGAACCCGGGCCGCACCACCAGUCGGAACACGUCCGUGCCGACGACCGCCUCCUUGGGCCGCACCUCCGCCACAACGACCCGCCGCUCGGCGUCGUACACCACGCAGCGGCGGCGCGCGUAGGACCCCUCCACCUCGUACGCGGCGCCUGCAGCAGCGCACGGCGUCACGCGCGCCGUCGCCUUGCCGCGGCGCCUGACGACGGCGUACACCGCGGGCCGCCGCGUGUCCUCGCCCGCGUAGAUGAGCCGCUGCUGGCCGGACAGCAGGCCGAGGAGGCGGCUCCGGCGCGCCACCGUGAAGGCCGGGCGGCCGGCGGGGUCCAUGAGCACGGCCCCGGCGUCGGCCCCGGCGUCGUCGUAGCUGUCGACGCGGUAGGCCAGGUCGCCCCUGCCGUCGAACACCGUGUACCCCCUGCAGUUGAACAGCAGCGACUUGCGCCACACCGUCAGCGACGUCGCCUCCUCCUCCUUCUCCUCAGCCGGCGACGGCGGCAGCACGUUGGGGUGGCGGUCCGGGUGGACCUUCGCCAUGUGUCGUCGUCGAUCGGUGGCUAGGCUAGCGUGCUCGAGCGUAUCAGGACGGAAUUGAAGGGGGCGCUGGAGCGAGCUCGACUCCCAGUCCCAGGUGGUUGCUGGGUAGUAGCAGUCAGCCAGCUAGAGGUCUUGUUUGGCUUUUGCGGCUGCUGCUGCUGGUGAGGUCUGGAGAGGUCCGGCGGCUAUAUACAUACAGUACAGGGGCAAGCAAGCGAGCGAGCGAGCGAAGCGAAGAAACAAAGGCAUGUUGCCCCCUGACGUGUGUGGGGCACGGUGACGACAUGGUGUGCCGGCCGGUGAAGCGCGACUCAUAACGGACUCCCAAUUAUGGGUGGCAUCGCGCUUGCUUUUUAGCCAAAGCAACCCGGCCGGUGCAACGGACGCAUAUGCAUGCAUGCCCCGCGCACUGUCGCAGAUCCCAUACAUAAUCUCGGUGGGGCACGACGAGGAACAGACGACGAGACAGCGAGAAAAAAAAGAUCGUAUAGAUUUUCCCCUUUGGAUGCAACUUGCGAGCAUAUCGAUUCGAAGUAGCUGGAUCGAUCCGUCGAAACAGGCCGAUGUGAAAACGUUUGGUGUGCGUGCUUGCUAAAUGAGGUGGAUCACGUACGUGGAUGAAGAGAGAUGAUGCACGCCACGCGAUUACACACAGAUAAACAGAAACGUGGACGUGUUACCGGCUCGACUCGGCUGCGCUACGUGGAUGAAGAGAGUUGUUUUUUUCCUUCUGAAUUCUGAUGGAGACGCGCAGAUGGCAUUGCGAAGCUAGCUAGUCUAACCGUACCUAUACGGCGGUCGGCUAAAUUGUACUGUAUUAAUUAUUACUAGUUUGGAUAUAUAAGCGCCGCGACCAUAUCAUAUGAUGAAGUGCACAGCCCCGCUCGUUUUUCACCUGCAAGUAGUAGAACACAAUUUUUCACUAUUAGUUUUCUGCUCAAUCCAAUUUAGAUAACCUCGCUCUGUUACUUUGAUACAUGUCCUCAUAAAUGUGCCCUCACUCCUGUUUUUGUUCUAGAUCCGCCCUGCAUGCGAUUACCAAAAGCUGGGCAAUGUGUUAGCUUGCCGAAAGGCUCUGCCCCUUUCAAAUUCACUUUUUUUUCGUGCUCGAAAACGAAAGCGGGGCGCCGCGACGUUGCGGUGAUGUCGAAAUCGGAAACGGCAUUGUGCGAGCAAGAGAACAUCGGUAACGAUCGAAACCAACAAAAUGAUAAUUUAUAAUGAGACGGAACAACAUUAAGAUCGUACUAGCAAUAAGAUCGUCCUGCUUUGAAACAAAGGUUUGGUUUACCCUAAACUUUAGCUUUUCUGAUACUGUAGGAAAGAGCUAGAAACCACAAAAAAGACUGCGCUAGAGAGACAUAAGCUUUUGCAAGCUCAGGACUCGGGACCAACAAACACGGCCACACGCCCGUAGGAGACGCCCUCUCGGGCAGCUAGGGCUAUGUGCAUGCAUGAUGUCGCGAGGGUGAAAUGCACCCCGAGGUCGCUCUCUCGCCCCGCGCGCAUUAGGUCACGGAUCAGCCACCCAUCGCUCGAAGCUGACAUGAGGGACAGGGAUGAGACACGGAGAUUAAUACACACAGCACAGCGGCUUAACCGCAUCAUUGCCACCACUAAUCCUACUCGAGCAAGAGAACAUCCUGUCUAGCCCUUGAUCAAGCGCCCAGAGCUGGCUCUGCCUCCCGGCCCGUGCCCUCCAAUCCGCGCUGUCAACCAGGCAGCGUGUCCCCAGCGGCUCGGCCUCCGCCCCGGCACCGUCGCUCUCCGCGACCAUCCGCCGCUAGCUGAGCGCUCGCACAUUGCGUUGCUCCCCCCGCGUUCUGAAUGUGGGGGGAAGUGUGUGGGGUCCGUAGCUUGCCUUGCGUGCAGCAAGGAUCGCCAUGUAGUCGCAGGACUGCAGCUACAGUGUUCCAAGCUGAUCGGUGAUGCUCUGGGAGCAGAGCCGUAGAGGUAUGCAUGCUAAAAUGCUAUACUAGCACGCCCCUGAUCGCAGGGCGCUUUGGCCACGUCGCUGCCCUACGCACCACACACGCGGCGGCGGCUGCGGCGGCUGCAGCUGGCCCCCAGCUGGGUCGGCUCGGGGGCCUCGCAGAGGACAGAGACAGGCCAUGUGGGAGCUGAGCAAUGAUGCGACGUCGGUUUGCGAUCCAAGAAAGAUUGCAGCAGUGACGCCGCACAGUUGCAUUGAUAGUAGAAGGCAGGAGCGGAGCAGAGCAAGAGCAUCUCUUGUGGGGGGAAGGGGUGUUGCUUUUUCUGAACUGCGGUAGGAUAGCAGCUGGACAGUGGAGUCAGGUUGCACUUUUGCUUUGUACUGUGUUGCCUGUGAGAUCUUUUGUUGACAGUGUUCCAUAAUGCUAUUCCCAGGAACGCGCGAGCGUGAUAUAGGGGGGUUAGUUUGUGGGGCUCGAUAAUAAUAUAAGUGCUAAAAGCACCAGGACUAGAGCCAGCGCGAUUUUAUUUCCUGCCCGUUCAAAUGGACAGAUAAAAGAAAAUGGUGUUACUGAAUAUUGUGGAGUUUCCCUUUGGAAAAGUUGGAGCAUGCUGCGAGACAAAUGGAGGAAGAAGGCAAGUGAACCACCGAGAUUCACGUGGAAGAUGGAUGUAGAAGCUCCCGGAAGCUCGGAUGGGACUGAGGAACAACGUUACAACCCUGUUUGGUAGUGCUCUUUCUCUACGAGUUUCAUCUCUAUGCUCUACGUACUAUAAGAAAACAACUCUCUCCAUAUUUUUAAGAAGAGCUGUAAAAAAAGCACACUGUUUUUCUUUGAAAAUAUGGUGUAGUGACGAUAAAGAGAAAAACAUGAGAAAAGAGUCGAUAGAAGCUCUUUUUUCUGGCUCCUUCUCCUGCUGGAUUUUUAGAUGAGCUCUUCCCUCUUUUUAGGAAAAGCCCAUCAAAAAGUCUCAACUUUGGUAAUUUUUUUCAAAAAGUCAUUGAAGGAACUUCAGAUGGAGCCCUAUCAAAAAGGGCAUAAAGUUCUGCGUCUCUGCCUCGGAAAAUGUAUUAGUGUCUGAGAGUAAUUUCUUUAAGUGCCGUUGCGUUUAGUAGCCCUCUUCUUGUAGCUCCGGGAGCUAUUUUACACCUUCACCAACCAAACGGGGUCAGACAACUUCGCUCCGCCUGAUUCUGUAUUUUCCGCUCUCUGUAGCUGUACGAGAUUAAGUGAACUAAGGUUAGUUUUAAUGGAUUUUUUUUUUAGAAAAAGUCCAAAUUACUCCUCUUUGAAUUUACAUAACCCUUUAAAAUAUUUUUUUAGUUUAGCUUACCCCCUCCGUCUAUUUAAGUCGGUUAAAGUUCAAUCCACCAUUUAACAAAUUUUGUAUUUUAUUUCUUUAUGUACAAGAGUUUUCAGUUCAUUUUUUUAUUAAUAGCUAAUUCCAUAACUUAGUCUUGGAAAUAUAUUAUAAUUUUUCAUAAGUAUUCUAAUAGGUUAAGGAUUAGAUCACAAAAAUAAUUUUAAUGUUACAAAAACUAAAUUUAAAAUAUAAAAAUAACAUAUCUUUAUAAUACAACUACGCUGUUCACCUCAGAAAAUAUAAACUUAGAGGAACUGCGCAAAUGACGUUGGGCUCGAAGGGCCCUAGCCACAACAAAAUAGCCCAAUGGAAGGCGGGCCACCAAGGGAGGAAGGCCAUUUGAUCGGCCCGGCCUCGUUUCACCAACAGGUGUUAAAUUGCCCGGUUUUAUUUCUCGCACAAAGACAAUGGUACACGCACAUCUCUCUGUCUGACCAUUUAUUGGGUCUCCUUGUACCUGAUCAAAAAAAUCAUGAGCUUACGAUCGAACCAUACGGAUUUAUCUAUACUAUACGCCUAUAUAAACAACCAAAUUCAACUUGCAAAACUCAUUCAACUAUAUCAUUCUCACUCAUAACUUCAUCUAAAUCCACCAAACGAAUUACACACACAUGACACAAGUUUCAAACCAACGGUUCAGAUCGCUAGUUAAUCACUACCACUCUUACUCGCUCAAUUUCAAUGACCAGUCCAGGGUAGGGGUGACGAUGGACUCUAAUAUUUACACUAUAAAAUUUAAGGACCGAACCCUAGUUAUAUUUAUUUUUAUAACUAAAAUUUAUUUAGGAUUAUAAGAAAUUGUGAAAAAAAUAUUUGGGCUGCGAUCCAUUGCCACCCCUAGUACAGGGUGAAGCUAGCCAAUAACACUUCUGGUGUUAUCGCCAAUAGAGGGAUAUGAUCAUCUUUUAUUGGCGGGGUCAUAGUGGAGGUAAAGUUGGGUUUUCCAAAGUGUGUCGGUGUCAGAUGGCACCAUCAAAUGCCUCUAGCUCCGCUUCUAUGGGCAGUAUUAUUUUUUAUCACCAUUCCUCUCUUAUCUCUCACCACUCACAUUCACAAGAACAUCCCUUACCUCUCCUGCGACCCUGCCACCGCCAGCAUCUCCCUGUCUCUUUUGUGACCCCGACGCCUCCUUCUCAUCCCUCCCUCGCGCAGCCGACAUCGCAGGCCCCUCUCUCACGUUGUAGUUGUCGUCGUCCUCUUUCCCUCGAUAGGAUCGUAGCGUUAGUAGAGUGUUAGACUAGUAUCUUGUUAUAUAAGAGAAUAUCAUUGCCAAAACGGAGAGAAGUUAGCUGUCCUUUUGGUUGUCACAUAUCAGUCCAUGGCAGUGCAACAAAACAGACACGAACCCCAUACAUGGCACUGGUCAUAUAAGCCUGCCAGAUCGAAAAUCGAAUACAGCAGUAUACAUAGACUACAGAAACAAUGAAAAACAACCUCCUGAAUCAAAACGAUGAAGUACCUACAUGCCUUAACAAGCUAGGAAGUACACGAUCCUCAGAAGCCUACGGUGCCACCAGAGCCAGACCACCUGCUAUUGGCUGCUGACGCCGCACUCGUCCGGUAUGCCCCGGACGCCGCCGCCGCCGCCCGUUGGUUAGCGUUGCUCACGUACUGGCGCACGGGGUCGCUGCUCGCUGCCGGCGCGGGGACGGGGGCGGGCGCUGCGGCCACCACGUACUGCUGCACCACCAGCACCGACACUGACAUGGAGAAGUCGGACGACACGAGCAUGUCGCCGAUGGGCCCCAGCUCCGGGUUCUCCAUCCACUCCUCCAGCGCCGCCGUCAUCGGCGACCUGACCUCGCCGGGGCGCCGGCCCACGAUGUACAGCUCUUGCAGGUUGUUGUCCAUGGCCCGUAUGGCCGCCACCGUUUCCUCGCUGUUGGCCACCGUCCUGGUGGCGUAGGUGAUGGCGAUGUUGCCGUGGUUGCGCGCCCGGAACUCGCUGAGGUAGUCCUCGUCCAUCUCCAGCUCGCUCUUGCCCUCCGUGUUGAUGGUGAUGGCGCGCGAGUCCGAGUCGGCCGGCGGGCGGUAAGCCGAGCAAGAGACGGUCCGCGCCCGGUAGUCCGGCGGGACGAACCGCACGAUGCUGAGGGUGACGCCGGGGUGCUCGACCAUCCUCCACGCGUACGCGAGCGCCUCGCGGUCGUCGGGCCCGCCGAAGAAGAAGAGCGCUACGUGGUGCUCGGUGGCCAUCCGCGCCGCCGCGGCGCUGAGCCCGCGGUCGACGAGGAUGGCGACGGAGCACGGGGACGUGGAGAGGAGGCUCUCGUUGAAGCCGCGGACGUGCGGGUUGAUCGGCUCCAUGCCGCCGUCCACCGUCUGCUGCUUGUGGAACGGGACCACGAUUAGCGAGACGUGCUUGUCCUCGGCGAGCACGGACACGUCCUCGUGCAUGCUUUGGUACGGGGACACCGCCGCGAGCGUCUGGAUGGACACGCCUCCUGCGCGUCACACGGGCAACAUGCUCUGCGUCAGCCUAUUAUAAUAUGGAAACAUAUCCGUCAGCUGGUGCAAUUGAAUUACGCACGGACCAGUGAGCCUCUCGUAGUUCUCGAAGGCGUUGAAGAUGUGCUCCGUCACGGGGGGCAGGGAGGAUCCCGAUCCGCCCCGGCUCUGCUUGGAGGCGGAGGCCGCGGCGGCGGCGAGCAUGUUGGACGCACGUCCCGUGAGCUCGACGAGGUGGAGCGCGUAGAUGAAGAUCGGUGAGCGCUUGUUUGGGUUCGAGAGCUCGAGCAGCGACAGCACGGACGGCACGUUGCGGGUGGUGUGCACGCAGGCCAGCAUGCGGAGCUCGCUGUCGUGCCGGAUGCGCUGCAGGUUCCGCCGCUUGUAGCCGACGAGGCGCCGGGACGGCCGGUACACGCUGGUCACCACCGGCGUCACCAGGGUUGUCAUGGCCACCGACACCAGCACCAUCACCGCAAACGACUCGUCAUCCAACACCUGCAACAAGCAUGGCGGCGCGUGGUCAAAAAUAAAUCACGCUCAAUCAUAGACCAACGCAUGCACAUUGUUGUGACACCAGUAAUACGGUACGUAGUAUUAAACCUCUUUGUCUCUUCCAAUGUUGAGCACGAUCAUUUCCACGAGGCCCCUGGUGUUCAUGAGGAAGCCGAGGGCGAUGCCCUCGCGAAACGGCAUGGUGUAGAGCGCGGCGAUGAUGAUGGUGCCCAUGAUCUUUGCAAAGCUGGCCAUGACGAACACGAGCACGAGAAGGCCAACAGUGACGGGGUCCCUAAUCUUCCGGACGUUGGUGCGCAGGCCGCUGAUGGCGAAGAAGAGCGGCAGGAGCAGGCCGGUGACGAAGUCCUCGAUCUUCUCGAUCAGCACCACGCCGAGCGGCCCGGUCGGAAUGACCAGCCCGUACACGAAGGCGCCGAAGACAGAGUGUAUGCCGAUGGCGUCGGUGCACACGCCGGCGAGCAUGACGCCGGUGAGGAUGAGGGAGACCUGCAUGUCGCUGAUGCCCUCGCCCUCGGGGGUGCGGCGGAUGAGCCACCACAUGCCGGGGCGCACGACGUAGAAGCAGAAGAGGACGAAGAGCGCCCCGGAGAGGAGCACCCACGUGGACGACAGCGCGGCGCUGCUCACCUCCGAGAUGGCGAUGGCGAUGGCGAGCAGGAUCCACGCGCACAUGUCGUUGACGAUGGCGGCGGACAUGGCGAUCUGGCCGAGGUCGGUGCCGAGCAGCUUGAUCUCGGCGAGGAUUCGGGCGAGCACCGGGAACGCCGUGACGGAGAGCGCGACGCCGAGGAAGAGGAGGAAGGACGCCUGGUGCACGUUCCGCGACACCUGGUGCCGGAAGAUGAAGGACGUGGCGAUGCCCAUGCAGAACGGCAGCGCCAUGCCCGCUAAGGCGACGAACAGCGCCUUCUUGCCCGACCGCCGGAUCACGUCGAUGUCCAUCUCCAGGCCGACCAGGAAGAGGAAAUAGAGGAGGCCGAGGUGCGCCACCGUCUCCAGCGUGAGCAGGCUGCGCAUCGGGAACACCAUGGUCGCCCAGGUCUCUAUCUGCCCCAACACCGACGGGCCCAGCAGCACGCCGGACUGCGCGCGCGCGGCGCGCACAGACACGAACAAACGCAUGCAUGGUCACAGCAGCUCAUGGCGCUACAGGCGCAUCACGUGCACGAGAAAGAACAGAGAGAGAGGAUGCAUGUACGUACGAGGAUCUCAGCGAUGACGCGGGGCUGGCGGAAGGGCCUGAGCACAAGGACGAGCAAGCGGGUGGUGACGACGAUGACGGCCGUCUGGAGGAUGAAGAGCGGGAGGGAGAACUCGAGCGGGUUGAACCCUUGCCAGAUGCCGUUGGUGGUUAUCAUCAUGGGCGAGUAGCACACCACGGUGCUGGACGCCUUGGGCAGCGUCGUCGCGUUGCGCAUCUGCUCCGUGAUGUUGGGCGGCAGCUCUUCGGUGAUCGGCGUGGCGUCCAUCUUGGCGGCUCCUCGCCGGUCAGGCGGUCACCGGAACGAAGCUCUGCUCGGCGUCUCGCUCUCUGCUUUGUGUGUGUGCCUCUGCCACGCGCGUUACGUCCCAGGGACGUGGCAGCGAGAGCGAGGCUUGACCGCUCGGGGCGUGUGCGGCGGAUGCGCUAGGACAAGGGGGAAUAGGUCAAAUGGCAGAAACAUGGGGGACCCAUCGCUUACCACGCUGUAAUAUCGUCGUUUUCGACCGGUUGCCCGGGGACUUUGGAGCUGUGAGAUGAAACGUGUCUUGUUUUGAUUGGCCGGGUGAAUCACUUAUACAAGGGACUAAAAAAUAAUCUUUUUGUUAAAAUAAAACUUCAUACAAAAAAAAUUAAGACAUACAAGUAGACAUGCACUACGGCAAGCACGUAUCUAAAAAAAACUUGCUUUAACGAAGUGGAGAAAUGACGAAGAAACUUUGUGUGCCUUUGUUUCGUCUUAUAGAUUGCAUAAUCUAUAUUGUAUUGAGAUAAAAUAAUCUAGAUUAUGUAAUCUAGACUAGUCGGUUGCCCGUGCGUUGCGACGGCUCACAACGAUACCCACGUAAACUAACCACCAAAAAGAUCUCAAGAUUUUUUAUCGAUUGUCUCUGUUCUCCGCAUAAUGUUUUUUGAUUUGACUAACUGGUGUUGUUGUUUUACUACAUCCAAUAUAUCUUGGUACAACACGGCCAAUGAAGGGAGCGAUUAGAAGAUAGUUCACAACGAUUGACUGAACAAACAGAGAUUAUGAAAUGACAUAAUUCCACCAUACACAGACCAAUAUAAAAGAAAGUUUGUGAGCUCAAGUUUCUAAAAUAAGUCAUAUGAACUCAAACUUAUAAAAAAGAUAGAUCAAAAUAUGGAGUGGUUGCUAAAGUCAAGCAUCAAUAAAAAUUGGAUGCACUCCAUACAAAUGAUGGUACUUCAUAGCAAUUAAUAACGUUUAAAACCAACAAAUAACCUUUUCUUUUAGUGUUAGCGUGACGAAUCAUUGUUGCUCCAUCCAAUUCAGCAACCUCAAAUACCAUAGAAUCCAUUGCGCCAGUGUGGUAUCAUAAACAACCUAAUGCAUGCAAGAGCCAAGAAGACAAGGGACGAGCACCCUGUGGUAAUGGUAGUGCCUGCAUAGAUCUCCAAAUCCUAACACAUAUUUUGCAGAAUCCAUGAGCCAUCAGCAUAAGAACACAAACCAUGUGCAGACAAUAAAUAAAGUAUUAACACACCCAAAUUAUAUUCAGUCCUUAGUGCAACAAAAUACUAACACCCAAAACAGCAGAGGAACAACACAAUAUUUUUCAGAAGGAUGGGUGACAGGUACAUCGAAGUUGUAGAAGCAUACCAAGUUGACACUGUGGUAAGGAAAAUGGCAUGUAGACAGACGAUGUCGAACCAUCGAAUGGGUACCAUAUGUAGCAAAUCAGGGACCCCCAUCCCUCGUCUCCCCCACUUCCAAGGUUUUGUAGAGCAGGAAGGAAAGGGAAGAGGUGGACAAACAUGUUCGUUGCCAGAGAAGGACACAACGAAGACGUGGGCAUCUAAAGGCGAUAUAGGUAGUAUGCCGCUAGAUACAUAUAGGGAGAGAGCACGCAAGCAGAGAAAGAAGUCCAGCCGGAGCAGCUCUAAACCGAGAGCACGCAAGCGUCAGUCCGAGUAGGUCGAGAGAAUGCGAGUGCCUUCCCAGCCCUUGACCCAUCGAGGCAACACAACACCACCACCAACUCCGUAGCAUAUGUCGACUACUGUCACGCUACGAGCCUUAGUUAUCCAAUAUCUCAGACCUGGACUCCUCAUCACCAAGAUAACAUAAGCGUGGCAAGCGUCACUGUUCUCCUCGGCGGCACGCACGGACAAAGGCCAGGAGCAAGACCGACCCACCCCGUACUAAUGUCGAUGAGUGUCGGUCGACUCGUGGCUGCGAUCGUGGGCGAGGGCAGCAGGUUAGGGAGGAAGAACAGGGCGAAAGCCAGGAAGACAAAUGGGACGUCCGACGAUGUCGAAAACGAUGGUGCACGCAUGCUGUAAAACGUCCUCGUGGACGUGCAAUAGCCACUGUGUGGGUCGGUGUUGGGACUGGUGUCGAACGAAUACGGAGAGGAGACGCCUGCUCCCACACCCUUUGCCGAGAAUGGGGUGGCGCGGAGUCGGAGCAUGAGUGGAGAGAGAAAAGAAACAGGAUGAUGAACGAGGUGCUGAUAAGUGAGGUGAGGACCAUCAUUAUCGUACGGAGGUAUAGAUGGCCAAAUGGCUUGUGUCUGGGGAGCCAGUCUGAGGCAAGACCGAUUUAAUAGUGUCUAAGCCAGCCUGCCACGAGUGCCGUGCUAGGGCCGUAGCCUCGGCCCGUGCUGGCCUAACCUGGCACAUUUAUAUAUUUUUAUUUUACAAAAAAUCGUAUAUACAUAUGUACAAUUUAUAUUUAAUAUUAAAAACACCUGCGCAUGAUGUUCUACUGGUUAGAUAACCUCACCCACUUUUUAACAUUUUAUGUUGAUUUAACCAAAUGGCGUGAUGAGCUUAACGGGUUAGUCCGGCACGGUGAGCAAGCCGACGUGUCAUGCCUAGGCUGGAGCUGUGGUCCGCGGGCGUCGGGCCUAGCGGGCCCAUGCUGGGCCACAAUUUAGCCAUCUAUAUGCUGAAGUGUGGUUUGUGACGUGGAGGUUGGUUGCACGGUGGGGAGUUAAUUUAAAAUAGAUAUGAGAGGUUAUUUGUAAAAGUAUAACGUGGAACGACCGUUGAAACCGAUGAUUUAAUAUAGUAGAGAUAGAGAUGAAAUAAUUUAGGUGCAGUUGUAUGGUAACCUAGUUUAUUGGAACUUUGAUUAUUAAUUUUAGCCAUAUGUUAGGUGGUGGGAGCAAGGACAAAUAUUUUUUUAAGGAGUGAUAGUGAUCGAUAACUUCUUCUAAAAUUGCCAUGAGUAGUGGGUAGUCUAAUAAUUUGUAUGUUUGUUUAAUAUCCAAAUUGUUUAAGCUGGAUUAUAUAAUAUAGACAGAUUAUAAGGUAAAACAAUGUGCCCCUCUUAAAAAGUAUACAUGACCUUUGUUUUUAGGUUGUAUUCAAUCUAUAUCAUUGUUUGCUAUUAUUUAUUGGAAAUAUUAAUGUUUUAUAGAUAUGACUACGGAUUUGCUGAUAACUAUUUGUAGUUGACAUAAACGAAAGCCCGAACCACUUUUUGAGACAUCUGAGGAAGACUAAUUUCAGAAUAGGAAAAUACAUCCAAGGAAAACGUGACUCUAGUCUUGACAUGACAUCAUUUAAGGCACAACCGCACAACUGAUGAACAUCAACAUAAUGUUUGAAUACGGAGACUUCAAAGUUGGUGCGAUAUCUCUCACACCCAACACAUACGGCCAAAGAGGUUCCAUUUAUAGUUACCGGGAAAAAAAUAUAGAGAUAUCUUCGAUAAGCCAACAAAGAAGAUGUUUGACGGAAUCAUAACCUACUUCUACUUCUGGUGGCAUAUAUGGAAGAAGAACAUUCCAGCAAAAACCAGUCGACCGAAAGAAGUUGCAAUGAUGACUGUUGCAAGCUGUUUGUGAAAUGAUGACUGUUGCAAGCUGUUUGUGAAAUGAUGACUGUUGCAAGAUGUCUCUCCACGAAGCGCAUAAUCCUUCACUGCAAGGAUUUCAGAAAAAAAAAAGUAAUUUUAUGGGUCACAUGGACAAGGGAGUCCUUGGUUUUACAAUGAAACGAACAUAACAUUGUUGACCACUUUUUGACUCUUCUUUCUGCCAGCUACUACGCGUCAAUUGAUAAUGUCAUUAUACUUCUGAAAUUAUGUGCUUACAGAAGAGUACCGAUUCAGACAGUUCUCUGAAAGUUUUUUUUUUUUUGUGAAAUGAUUACUGUUGCAAGCUGUUUGAUGAAAUCAUUCCUGUAAUGCUCUUGUAUCAUACUAUACUCACUCCUUUACAGGUUUAUGAGAUGACUGGAACUGGAUGUUUCAAAUGUUACAGUAUGUUAAAUAACACGCAAAAGGUUGAGUGGAGCAGUAGUUAAGGUAUGUGUGGACACAACCUUGUAGAUACGUUUGCCUUUCUUAUAUUUUUCUUGGCUUUAGCUUUGUUCUUUUUUUGUUGUUGAGAAAAUGGCUUUAGCUUUGUUUAAUCUGAUUAUACGAUGCCACAUAUCGGUAGGGGUUUCUCUACACUCCAUGGUGCAUUGGUAGCUGCUGCCGUUUCUUUCUACUUGGCCAUGACCUCUUUGUAGCUUU
rnacentral:lncRNA from 1 species